rnacentral:lncRNA from 1 species
GCGGAUCUGGCGUCUCCCACCAGCGAUGCGGCAUCUCACUUUUGCCUAUGUAGUUCAUUGCCGCUGAGACAUAUGGCUGUGUCGUUGGGUUCAGGGCCCAUCUUCUGUGUGUCGUUCCUGUCGUCUUAGGGUGCGGACAUGCUGACAGGUAUGAAUCGCUUUGUGCUCUCCCAUUCGCCUCUUGCUUUGCAUAAUGUUCAUCAUAAUUUCAUUUACCAUUUUUUUCCUGAAUGUACACCUCUCCUUAGUUUCUAGCAGAGGGGAAAAACAUAGUUCCUUCUUUCCUUCAUCCUUAAUGGGAAAAAAAGAAAUGGAGGCCGCUUGCCAUCACCAAAUUGAUUCCGAAACCAUUAUGGCUGAUUCAUUCCUUCCUAUUUCUUUUCGUGUAGGUACUGGCGCAGUUUGCCGUUGAGCAGGGUGCACGGAUGCGUUCGUCACAUUCUCGAUGAUGUGGAUCCUCGACAACCUCGUUGAGUCCGGCAGUGCGUUCUCAAGUUUCGGCCAAGCUGAUGACCUCUUCUUGGCUUACGGCUAGAGGUCUAUGGCAGAGGUGUUGUAGUUUGGCCCAGAGGAGGAGGCUGUGAGGGAAAUCACCGAGUCAACUGCUGAGUGAGUUAUUAGAUCUGACAUCUAAAGAAUACAAAUAGCAGCUGACAACCAUGAGAUGCUGGCCUCCUCGUUGUUCUUGUUGUCAGGCCAAUACUAACUCAUUGUUCUUGCGGUCAGGCUACUACUAACUGUAAGUGCCAACUGAAAAUUAUUUCUUGUACUUCAUCCGUAGCAGUAUUGUACUCCAUGUAUUUUUAAUUUUUUCUUUGCAAGAAAUUAUGCCUUUUCUCUUAAUAAAGGCCUUAUGAGCCGCAAGUUGGUUCAUAUGUGUCAAUUAUUUUCUUAAAAUGCAAAGUCCUUGCCUUCUGUGUGCUAAUCUGGCACCUUGGAUAUAAAUUUUGUUAUUGGUUUGUUGAGUAGCUCACUUGUGCCAGCAAGACGCCAUUGAUUUGCUUAUAUCCAGUCAUGCUAUUAAGUUGCUGAUGAAGCAAGGUAUGUUCCUUCCUAUUGUGCUGGUGUUAUAUAGGUUUGCUAAAGUAUAGUUUCUUCAAAUUGUGAAGUAAAUCCUAAUGUGCGAAAGUCUGGUCUUGUAGUAUGUUCCUGUCUAUUGCGUUGGCCUCGUAAAGAUUUUCCUAAAAUAGCAUGUGCAUAAAGGAAACUACAUGAAGAAAGUUAUCAAUAUAGUUUAAACUAAGAACAUUGGUAACGUCCACACCCUGAAUCUAAUAAGUAUCCUUCUUAUCAUGGUUGAUGUCAGUCAAAUACUAUUACUUAUCUUGGUCGAUACAAAUAGACUGUCGCACUAUUUAUUUCAUAAGCUACUGAUCCACUAAUUAUCUGGAUAACAUCCUUUUUCUCCUGGCCUUUGAUUUCGGUACUUCAUCUUCAUCUUCAAGCACUGUAUUUUGGGCUUUUGCUUUAACAUGUUUCUUGUUCCUGCAAACACCUUUUCCUUUUUUUCAGGAAAAUUCGUCUCAGUGCAUUCAUCCUCUGACUCAUCUGAUAUUACAAUAGAUCUCAGUAUCCUUUUAGUGUCACUGCGGAGCUCACGUGAUGACGAUGGUAUUUUGUCUUGACGCUUAUCCUUACUUAAUGUAGUCCCAUUGCUGCCAUGUGGCUUCUCUUUCACAGGCACCAGUUCACAUGAAAGUUUGCCAGAUGAAACUUUAUUAUUCUGUGACUGCAAAGAUAAACAUUUUGAAAAUUAGACACAUCUCUAAAAUUUGAAGUGUGUACAUUGUUAAAAAAACAAUCACCUUUCUAUCUGGCAUGUUUUGCUUAUUCAUUAACACAGUGUCCACCUCAUCAUCCAUCAAUUCCUGUGAAACAUAUAUAAGAUGAAUUAGUUAAGGAAUUCUGAAAAUGGUAAAAAGUUAAUGCAGCUUUACCUCAUCAGCUUUAUUGUCCAAAUAGAGCAUCUCAAGCCUAUCAUCAGGCACAAAUGUUCUUUUUAUGGCAUAGUUUUGUGUGCCAAAUGUGAGAUUAUUAUCAUUGAGCUUGAAUCUAAAUAUGAGUCUUUUUCCACAUAAUUGUUGAAUAACCUUUGGCGCUUCUUCCGAUUUCCCAUCCUGUGUGUCCAGCAGAUUAGAUGCAGAUGUAUUAAGCAAUCUUGCAGCCUCUUCAUCAAAUAAAGUGCAACUUGUAGUAAAUGUAUGGUCACUAAUUUGGAGUCGAACACGGUGACUAACACAUGAUACCUGUUAGUGGAGAGUAAAUAUAAUAUAACAUUUUUUUCAUAUUUUAGUAAUAUAAUAUGCUUACCGUGGUGUGACCUUUUCUGGAUAUAUACCACAACUCUUCCAAUAAUAAUUGUCGGUUUCCUUGGUAGCCAAUUUGUGGCACUUAUCACAUGACAUGUACCACCAUUGAAUAUUUUCUUGCAAACGAUCCACUGUACCUAUGACGGUGAGCACAAAAUCCUAAAAAAAUAUUAGCAUUUGGUUGGGGUGUGGGAUUAAGAGGCAUAUAUAAGCACAAUAUGGUUUCAUUGUAACUAAUAUUAAAUGAAUUGUCCAUGCAGGUCUUAUCGCGUAUCACGGAGAUUGAUGAUAUCAUUUAUUGGAAUUUUUAUGCGUUACCUGGUCUGGCUGGUUUCCAUGCCUCAUUGCAGUAAGUUCUUCUAAUGUUCUCCUCCUAUAAAACAUCUGUUCUUCUAGUGUUCCUUGAUUACUUCUAUCUAUAUUGCCCAUCUUUUGUAAGGUUUCUUCGGCUGAGUUCCUGCACAUGUAUGAAGUAAAUAAGAAUAUACAACCUUUAAUCAACCUGACUUAGUAAUUAUGAGUGCAAAAAUAUAAAUCGGUGGUGUUUCAUACGUAUCAAGAAGUUCUUGUGUUUCUGGUAUAUCCAGCUCUAUAUAUAUCCUUGUGACACUCGUUGACUUUAGGCACAAACCUAUUUAAUCAUUCCGUUAGAAUUUGUAAAUGAUAAGAAUAGCAUGUAAGAUUUAUUCACUUACCAUUGAAUCUCUGCACCAUCAUUGAUGUGAUAAUAAGGACAGUUUGGCUGCCGAUUACAUCCUCGGUCAAAAAAUAAGCAAACUUUCCCCACAACGUGAUUCUGAUUUUAUCACCCCUAAAUAAAAUAAUCUAAAAAGUUAGUGCUAACCACAUGGGGGAGGUUUAGUUAAAUUUUAGACAUGCAUAUGCACUUACUCUGGCAUUAGGAUUUCAAUCUCGCGGAUAUAUGAAGGUUGUGGGUUCCUUUUUGUUAUUCUUGUCUCCACUGGCUUCAUUUGAGUUAGUAGUCCAAUGACAUCUGCAUAUUUGGAGAUUAUAGUGAUAUAAAAAUUAGAAAUAUCCAUUAUUUGGAUGUCUUAAUUACAUCCAUAAACAUACCUGAGCAUUGUGUAUCUUUUUCCGCCCUUUCUUCUAGUGUGUCCAUGGUAGCAAACUCGAAGCAAUAUUCUGGGAAAACUUCCGAAGAUCCUUUUAUUUCCUUUACCUUUGUAUUGUAUGCAAAAUAUAUUUUAAUUUCAUUGCUCACUGGCCUAUAUUUUGUGGAUUCCACGACCUUAAAAUUGCUGAAUGCAUAAAUAGACUUUUCAUUGAUCUUUGAUCUAAAAGUGUCUAUAAGAUUCUUCCAGAUAGUAGCAUGGAUUGUUUCACCCUGUUAAAAGAAUCAAAUAGGGUUAGUAAGUUGCUUCAUCUGACAAAAAAAUUCUAGUUUAAUAUAUUAGAAAACAGACCUGCUCAUCCAUGAGUAUCAUAUCUAGGCUAAUAAGCUCAUCGGUCGUAGGAUUCACUGAAUCCCACAUUCUCAUUACUUUCACUUGAAUAUUCCAAUUAUGUCCCCUUGUAGUUAAGUCGCUCAACUUCUUGUAUGCCAUAUUAUUAUAUCUUCAAAACUAACAGGGAACAAUUUAUCAAUUGAUAUAGUAUUUAUGAAGAUUAUAUCCAUCAAAAGUAAGCUUGUGAAAUAACAAUUACCAAAUCUGAUGAUUCAGGCUAGAUUUGCUUUGGCGUCAAUUCUUUCGACUUAGAUUGGAGCAGGCGUCGCUUCGUCGGGCGUUGAGCGUGCUUUCACGUGACUAUGUAGGGCGUCGAGUGAAGCGGCUGGAGGUGGCUUUUUCGUCUGGACGUUGAGUCGCGUGUGAUGUGUUCAAGUCGUCGUGGUCGUUGGGUAAUUGUUUGGUGGGUACUUGUGCGUCCGUGUGUACUUAUUUAUAUACUUUUAGGUGUCUUGGAUUGUGGUGGCUGAGACCGGCUACAAAUCAGAUGCCAACACCGUGUGCAAAUCAGACUUAUGCACCGUGUGCAAAUCAGACUUGUUUUAUUUGCAUGUAUUUGUUCCUGAUCUGGAACUUUCCUCACGUGAGGUGGUUGUCCUUGUUUGUUAAGAAUAGGCUCCUUAUUUGUUUAGGUUAGAGUAAUAUUUUUUUCGCUUAUCAUUGAUCCAUCGAUGGGAAGUUCUUUUUCUACUAUAUUAUUUUUUUGGAACCUAUGUGCAGUACUUCAACGUGGCAUGUUCUGCUAUAUGUACACGUAUUAUAUUCUUACGUAACGCUUUCAUAUUUUAAUCUCAGCCGUCAAUACAUAAAAUCAAUGAUCAAGAUAAUUUAAUCUAUGUGGACGCACGUGGUGGCUUGUUUGCCUAUCGUUUUAAUUAAAUAAUAGAUUUGAGAAAAUCAUCCUCUUUUGCUCUCUGGUCCAGUUUAGCAUUUUCUACCGCAACCCCAUUUUAUAUUGCUCUGUUGCCCAUGAUUCUUUUUCCUGCUUAUAAACCACCCUGCAAAACCCUUAAGUCCAGGAGAGUGGACCCAUUGGGGUAUUUUUGGUCCAUGAAAUGAUAGCCUCUAGUUUCUGUCCAUAAUUGGUUUUCUCAAAUGCAUGCACUAACUAGUUUCUAGCUUUGCCAAACUAACCUUGCCACCCUCUUUUACACCUAAAGAGACACCGAUCUGGAGAGUUUAGCCACCCCAAGAGUUGCCUAGAUGCACAUGGCAUUCUGUCAAACACCUUGUGUGCAUGGCCAGUUUUGGCUUGGUUUUUAGUUUGCAUUGUGGACUUGAUCCCCUGACCAAACCACCAUGUCCACUAAUCUCCUUGAAAACCCUAACCUAGACCUGCUAAACCUCAUGUGGAUUAGAGCCCCCUGGCAGGCAUUGGCAUUUUGCCGAGCACCUCGCGUGCGUGCUCUGGGCGCGCCCAGAGCGCACGUUUUGCACGCGCGCGCACCGACUCGCCGCGUCCUACUGCCGCCUCCCCGCGCCCGUUUUGGCCCCUUCCCUCUCGCAGCCAUUGCGCCCGACCCUUCCCUCGCCGUAGAGCCGCCCCUGGAGCCCCACAGCGCCGCCGUCAGGAUGGCCAUGGUAGCUAGCGGCCGGCCACAGUGGGCCCCUGCCAUGGACGGCGCCGCCCGAGCCACAGCCACGCGCCAGCUUGCCCUGAACAGCUCGAGCUCAUCCCCUCGCCCUGCCAGACCCCGCCAGCCAUCGCCACGUCGCCCUGCAGCUACAGAACGGCGGUUCUCCGUCGAUCUUAUCUCCGGCCGCCGCGCAACCGACCUAAUCACGCUAUAAAAGGAGCCCCGAGCCCAUCCGGACACUCAGGUGACCUCCUACCAUCCCACUAGUGCGCCCCACGACCAGCAAGCGAUGGCGGGAAGCCUUCUUCCUCGCCUUCAGCCAGUUCGGCCGCCGCCACUCUCCGGCUCAGUUCUUCGCGAGAAGGCCCUCCCCCGUCCAUCCAGCGCCACCACCCAACUCCACUUGAUCUUGUGGAGCCGCCCAAACCCUCAGCUUCGACGGAGAGCUACCAUAGCGCGAAGCCCGAAUUCUCCCGAAGCUGCCGUCCUCCGCGGAGCUCGCCGCCGGCGACUCCCUCCGUCCCCGCCACCCUCUCGACCACCGGGAGGACCACCCUAGACCCGCGGAUCCAUCCCCGCCCUCAGAACCCCGCGAGGAGCCGCCGUUCGCCGAUGCCGAUCACCGGAGCCCCGCCUCUGUUCGGCCAGAGGAGGAAGGAGGCGGGGUCGACCGGUCAAACCUGACCAGUGGGCCCCCUUGACCCACUGUCAGUGACCCCGAGCCGGUCCACGCUGGCAUUAGUGGAGACGUAAAGCCCGGAGUAUGUUCCCCCCCGAACCGUUUUUUCUUUUUCUGUUUCUUUUAUUAUUAUUUUUAAAACAGAAAUUUGACUAAACUUUGAAUGUCUAUAACUUUUUAAAUAUAACUCCAAAUGAGUUGAUUAUUUUUCCUACCUCUCUCAAAUUUCACCUAGUUUAUUUUAAGAUUUAUUUCACAAAUAAUUAGGAAAACAUUUUGUACUGUUUUUAAAGUUUGAAUAUUUUGAAAAAAUAGGAUUUUGGAGAGAGAAGAAAACUUUCAAAAGUUUUGGAAUGCACCCUGCCUCUCCAUAACUUGAAGGCAAGCAUUCUAAACCCUGGCAUAAUGUUGUCGUGUGUUGUUUGAUACGGUUGCAACACCCCUUGUCUCGGAGUUUUUGUUAUUUUAUGUGAUGAUAUGAACAUACUCAUAAGUGCAUAUUGAUGAUUCCGUGCUUUUGGAAUUUGAUACGUUGUGAUAGUAAUCACCCUCAUAUGCCUUUCAUGCCUAUUGGAAGGAAGCCGGGAAAGUCUCUGUCUUGGGUAGACACGAGCUUGUCUCUAGUUCCUCGUCGAGACAGUGGUGUCCGGUAUGGCAUGAUAAGGUAUGAUGAGUGGUGAUUCUAUCUGUUGAUUGAAAUAUAUUUGUUAUGCUAAUCAUGCAAGGAAUACUUAAACCUCCUGAGUCGGCCAUAGAUCGAGUGUUGUUCCAGUAACCCCCAUACUUGUUUCGUACUACCACUUGUCCCUGCCAUAGGUAGGGUACGGUUCAGUAAGUUGUCAACCCCUUUCUUGGCACACACCGUACAGAGAGGCCAUGGUGGAAGAUACCGCCUGCAUCCGGUAGGCAGGCCACCUUGUCCGGGGGCAUGGGUGUUUUCGGUUGGGACCGAGAGGGGGGCACCCCUUAGUAGCGCGCGGUAUAAAUUUGAUCCCAUGCUAAUCGAGGUUGUAGCCUCCCCACUUAGCGUUUUUCUUGAUAGGUGUCGUGGGUGAUUCCAGACACCGGUAAGUUAAGCUGGUGUGUGCGGGUCAGGUGUGUUUUCAAUUAAAAGACUGUAACACCCCAAAAAUUUAACCAGGUUUUAGUUAUUAAAAUUUUGCCAAGAGUUUAAAAUUUUUGCAUGCAAGUAUAUCUCUGUUGAUUUCAAAACUUUUCUUUUAAUAUUAAGAAAUUUUUCCCAAGUGGAUCCUUCCAAAAUAUAUUGGACUUAUUUUCCCUCUCAUUUAAAAAAACAUCUCUCAAUCAGGAGAUUUAUUUAUAAAAUUAUUUCACCCUGAGCUUUAUUCAUUAAAUGACUUGUUUUAAAAUUUGGAGCUCUUUUUGAACUACAACCAUUUGAUAUAUUUAACUAAAAAUUUCACCAAGGUUUGGAGAUAUCAUGUGAUGUCUCUAAAUCACUUUUGUGCAAUAAUAUAUUUCAUUCAUUGGAUAUUUUGAGUUCUACACCAAGUUUUCAAAUAUGGUCCAGUGGGAAAUUUUACACUACAACCUAUUUAAAUAUUGAUUUAAAACUUCUAGCAAAAUUAGGGGAGGUCAGUAGGAGCAUAUUAUUCCACUUUGUGCAAAAACCUAUUUAUGUUCUUUAAAAAAAUUGAGUGAAUCAUCCUCUUUUUCAUUCUGGUCCAGCCUUGUGAUUUCUACUGCAACCCUAUUUAAUUUUGCUCCAAAGAUCUUGUGUUUUCUCCUACUUGUAGACAACCCUACCAAACCCCUAAAUCCAGGAGCAUGUACCCAUUGGAUUAAUUUUGGUUCAUGAAAUAAUGUCAUUUAUUUCCUGUCCAGAAUUGUAGUUUUGCAAAACUUGCACUAACAAGUUUGUGCUUUUCACAAACUAACCUCACCACUCUCUCUUGCAUCUAAGGAGACCCUGAUCUGGAGGAUUUGGCCACCCCAAGAAGAGCCUAGGUGCCUGUGGAAUUUUGUCAAACACCUGGAGAGCAUAGCCAGAUUUGGCAUGGAUUCAAGUUUACACUAUGAACUUGGUCACCUGACCUAACAACAAUGCCCAUUCGCCCUCUAUCUAACCCUAACCUAGCCCUGUUUCUUCCCAGCCUCAACCGCGACCUCUAGCAUGCUCUGGCAUUACGUCGAGCACGUCCCGUGCACGCCCGGAGCGCGAGCAGAGCGUGCGUUUGGCACGCGUUUUGCACGUGUCGCGCCCGAGCCGACGCGUCGCGCCCCUGGCCUUGCCUCCACUGCAGAGCCACGCCACGCACGUCCCUCCUCACCGCAACACGCCAAGCCGCCCCUCGCCACGUCCCCGACAGGCCAGGAGCUAGCCGCCACGGCCGCCGACAGCCCCUGCUCCGUUCAGCGCCGCCCAAGCCUCUUCUGCUCGCCACCUGGCCCCUGGAACAGCGCGAGCUCAUCCACGAGUGUGUCCGCUAGCGCUCGUCGCCGCCACGACGCCCUAGCUACAGAAUGGCGGUCGCCGGCGACCUUAUCCGCAGCCGCCGCGGAACCCCCUUGCCACGCUAUAAAAAAGGACCCCGAGCCCCUCUGAGCACGCACGCAACCUCAGGCUACCCCAUGGAACCCCCAUAGCCCACAAUCGUCAGGGAAACACCACCUUCUUCGUCUCUGGCAACUCCUGCCGCUGCCACUGUCUCGUUCACUCCGGCGCCACCAGGGCUUCCCCCUCUCCACUCUCUUCACCAGAAGUCCUCUCUUCCUCCCGUGAACAGAUCCCCCUACUCAAUUUGGUUCGGGAGCCAUCGCCGCCACAAAACCACUUCGCCACCGAAGCCUCCUCCGCCGCGAAGCUCGCUGCCGGCAGCUCCCUCCGCCCCCACCUACCUGUCGACCACCGGGAUGACCGCCCUGGAGUGGCGGAUCCAUCCCCGCCCUUGGGGCCCCGCGAGGAGCCGCCAGUCGCCGGCGACGAUCGCCGGAGCUCCGACUCCGCUCGGGACAGAGGAAGGAGAGGGAGAAAGACUAGUCAAACCUGACUAGUGGGCCCCGUGGACCCACUGUCAGUGACCCACUCCGCCGCCACGCGUGUUAAGUGAUAGCGUAAAACACCAAGUACGUAACCCCUACUUAGAAAGUGUAUUCGUGGCUGAAACGUUUUCUUUUGUUUUAUUUUUAAAAACAGAAUUUGACCAAAACUUUGACUGGUUAUAUCUUUUUAAAUACAACUCCAAAUGAAAUGAUUCUUUUUCCUACCUUUCUCAAAUUUCACCUAGCUUAUUUUAAGAUUUAUUUGAAAAAAAUUCAGAACAACUUUUGGUGCUGUUUUUAUUUUGUGUGUUAAUUCUUUUAUAUUGCUAAAAUAGGAUUUUUGAAGAGAGGAGAAAUGUUUCAAGUUUUGGAGUGCACCCUGCCUUUCCACACAUUGAAGGCAAGCAUUCUGAACCCCGGCAUAAUAUUUUUGUGUGUUCGAUGACAUGUUCAUAACAUCACCUCACUUUGGAGAAACUUGUUAUUUCAUGUGAUAUGAUCAUAUGCAUGGGUGCAUGUUAUCGAUUUCCAUGCUGUUGGAAAUGGACACACUUGUGAUGAUAAUCACCCUCAUGUGCCUUGCAUGCAUACCGGCAGGAACCCGGGAAAACCUCUGCCUUGGGUAGGCAUGAGUUUGUCGCCGAUCUCCGUCGGGACGGUUAUGUCUGGUAUGGCAUGGCAAGGUGAUAUGAGCGGUGACUCUGUUGGUUGAAAUAUAUUCGUCAUGCUAAUCAUGCGGGGAAUACUUAAACCUCCUGAGUCGACCGUAGAUCGAGUCUUGUGCCAGUAACCCCCAUACUUGUUUCGUACUACCACUCGUCUCUACAGCAAGUAGAGUACGGUUUAGUAAGUUGUCAACCUCUAUCUAGCACACACCGUACAGAGAGGCCAUGGUGGAAGAUACCGGUUGUAGCUGGUAGGCAGGCCACCUGGUCCGGGGGCAUGGGUGUUUCCGGUUGGGACCGAGAGGGGAGGCCACCCCUUAGAGCGCGCGAUAUAAAUUUGAUCCCAUGCUACGCGAGGUUGUAGCCUCCCCACUUAGAGUUUGCUUAACAGGUGUCGUGGGUGAUUCCAGACACGUGUGAGAUAAGCUGGUGUGUGCAAGUUAGGUGUGUUUUCAACAAAAAGACCGUAGACGGAAUUAGUCCCGAUGGACUAAAGAAAUCCAUUACUCGUGGGUAAAGAGUACGGCCCUCUACAGAGAUUAAACCUAUUCGAAUAGCCGUGUCCAUGGUUAAGGAUUACAGUCUGGGAUGCGUCAAGUGUCGGUCUUAGUGUCGGUCUUCGGAGGUGAAACUGUUAACCAGAACUAGAACUACUACCUGUGACUUGUGAUAAUUACGAUUAUUAUUAUUGUUGACUAGCCCGUGAUAUUAUUGUUAUUAUCGAGUAUCUCUGGGAUGGUUCUACCUCUGGGAUAUUCACUAUGAUUGUUUAUUUUAAAGCCCUUUGUGUGGUGUCGCUCAGACGCCCGACUGUGGCAUUUCUUUUAAAGCCCUUUAUGUGGUGUCGCUCAGACGCCCGACUGUGGCAUUUCUUUUAAAGCCCUUUAUGUGGUGUCGCUCAGACGCCCGACUGUGGCAUUUCUUUUAAAGCCCUUUAUGUGGUGUCGCUCAGACGCCCGACUGUGGCAUUNNNNNNNNNNNNNNNNNNNNNNNNNNNNNNNNNNNNNNNNNNNNNNNNNNNNNNNNNNNNNNNNNNNNNNNNNNNNNNNNNNNNNNNNNNNNNNNNNNNNNNNNNNNNNNNNNNNNNNNNNNNNNNNNNNNNNNNNNNNNNNNNNNNNNNNNNNNNNNNNNNNNNNNNNNNNNNNNNNNNNNNNNNNNNNNNNNNNNNNNNNNNNNNNNNNNNNNNNNNNNNNNNNNNNNNNNNNNNNNNNNNNNNNNNNNNNNNNNNNNNNNNNNNNNNNNNGCAUUUCUUUUAAAGCCCUUUGUGUGGUGUCGCUCAGACGCCCGACUGUGGCAUUUCUUUUAAAUCCCUUUAUGUGGUGUCGCUCAGACGCCCGACUGUGGCAUUUCUUUUAAAGCCCUUUAUGUGGUGUCGCUCAGACGCCCGACUGUGGCAUUUCUUUUAAAUCCCUUUAUGUGGUGUCGCUCAGACGCCCAACUGUGACAUUUCUUUUAAAGCCCUUUAUGUGGUGUCGCUAAGACACCCGACUGUGGCUUUGCUUGUUAUUUAUUUCAUAAAUUUUAAUACUACUAUGUUAUUGCAAUUUUAUAAAUAACUUGCUUGCACGCAUCAGAGAUUUAUUUAUCUUUUGUGACUGACGUCAUGAGCAUAAAAUAUUUUCAGCACAUCAUUGUUAUAUUAUACCUGUGUUCAUAAUGUUUGCGAGUACAUUCAAAGUACUCACUGGCUUGUCCCUGGCUAUUGUCUUGGCCAGAUUUUCUUGCACGAAGAGGAGCGACGCGAUGACAGCCCCGGAACCUAAGUAAUGGAGGUAGCAGCCUCGCGAAGAUAGGAGUUAACCUGGUCAGCUGUUCCCGUGGGAAAUGGAGUCCCAUAGACACUGAUGUUUCACAACCCGCUUCCGCCAUCAACCACUAGAAACCAUUUGUUGUACUCACAGGCCAGAAUGGCCUAGUACUACAUAUUUUGUUUUCUGCUUGGGAUUUCUGUAUCAAGUUGGAGCCUCAUCAGCUAACAGUAAUCCUGGGGCUGAUGAGCACGACGGUCUUUUCUGGAAAUUUAUUACCCGGAAAACCGGUCGUGACAGACUUGGUAUCAGAGCCAGUCUGACCAUUGGCUAAUCCUAUCUUAGCCAGGUCGAAAAACUUAGGCAAACCAACCCACUAGACCUUAGCCAAACCCCAGCCAAGCUUCCCGUGCAAGAUAGCCACACAGUGACCCCGACACUUUUGGCAGUCGGUGCCCAACCUAUCAGCCUAGCCUGUCGGUCACACACCAGUGACCGAUGGCAAAAAUGUCUCAUUCACAAGCGUGCGAAAGAAGACUCCGUUCCCUUUUUUCUAUAAAAAGGGCACGCUAGCCCCAACCCAGCACAGCACAACCUCGAACCUAGCCACAAUGCCUGGCCCCAUAGUGCACAACGAGACCACAACAACCAACCUUGGAGGUUUUGUGACCAUCCUCGCAAACCUCACCCGUCGUGCCUAUGCGUUAGAGGAGCCACCAGAAUAUGUUGUGUACCAAGGACCCUUGAGCGGUGAAGAACGUCAAUUCUGGGCGACUGUACACAUCUACGGUAGGGGUAUAGUACCCGAGCGCCCCUACAGGUUCACCGGAAGAACAACUUCCUUUGAGCCACAAGCCAUACAACUAGCUGCUCGAGAGGCUAUAGUUCAUCUCGGGCACUUGUCACCCAGAGUUAACUGUCGCUCGUUCCACUACUACCCUAGACAUGAAGGGUAUGGUAGACCACCCCAAGUUGCCAACGGAGAUCACGAGACAGAUCCUGCAUUGUUGCACCUGGUGCGCUAUGUAAGUGCACUAGAGGAACUAUGCGAUCAAAUCACUAUUGAUUUAAUUGCAGCUCGUGGAGAGCUGGUUCGUCGAGCCCCGGCGAGAGAAGAAAACGAGACCAACGCCGACAACCUAGUCGUGCUGUUUGGACAACCGAUCGAGACCCCGAGAUCAGCUCCAGCCAUCAGCCGAGAUGCUUUGAUGACCCCAGAAGUGCUUCGUCGGCUUUUGGGAGCACACUCCAACGGGGUUGUGGCCAACAAUCCCCGCGAUGGUCAUCAUCACUACCCCGACCCUGCAGUUCCUCCGCCAUCUCCGACUAAUCCCGGCAGUGAGACACGUGGAGAAGCCUCGACAUCCACCACGCACGCCCGUUUAGACAUAAACGAGGUAGACUAAGCCGUAUGAGUAGCACCGCGUUUCAGUGUAUCCUCGCGUUGUAAUCGCGCGACCAUGUAUAUUAACGCAGCCUGUCAUUGUGCCUCUGCUUUAAUGGUAGCCUUGCGUAUUUUCUUUGUCAGCGCAUAGUUGCACAUUUUCCGGGCACAACUACCAAAACCAACCCGACGACAACCACAGUAACACGUCUCUUUAUGAGAUAUGUGUAUCUUUGACACUGACCUGACCUUUGGAGCUAAGCUGGCAAAUUUAUUACCUUUCACCAUGGUAAAACGAAUCCGGCUCCAUUGCUAUAUAAAGGCCACCUUGUGACCUUACCCAGCAACCCUCACCUUGUGCACCACACUCACAACUUUUUCCUGUCAUGCCGAGCCCCAGCAUUCACCUAAGAACCCCAGAUGCAACCCCACGUAGCUUUGUCAAAAUAUUGUGGGACUUUACCCGCAGUACCAUGGGUUCUACCCAGCCACCCCAGUACGAGCUGUUCAAAUCUAGAAUCACCCCAUCCACCUCGGAAUAUUGGGCAGCAGUACACAUUCUUCCUGUAGACCCCAACCAAGAUCCAACAGAAGUUUCCUUCGUGGGGAAAUCUAUGCCAACCCCACACCUGGCCAUAGAAGCUGCUGCGAAAGAAGCGAUUGCUCGUCUUCGAUCCGUUGUACCCUAUGCCCGCGAACGAGGAUAUUAUUACUUUCCGAGCCGUGCAGCACCCGGAGAAGUAACGUCUUUUCCCGGUGGGCGUAUUGAGAGAGACCCAGUUCUGGCCAACCUUAUCCAGUACAUCAUUGCUCAAGAGCAUUUGAACCAACGAGUGAUGGAUUAUCUCCAGAAUCUCACUGAUCUGAAUCCUCAGAUUGCCAUCAGCAGACCACUGAGGCCCGACCCAGAGAGACGCAUACAUCGACUGGUCAAUCCACUUCCUCCAAUAGAAGAGGAGUGUAUCCCAUUACCAGAGACAUUUUAUCAGGACCCCACCCAGUUACGGUUUUCAUUUUAGACGUCACUACUGUAUUUGUUUUUGCAGCAUUUAUAUUUGCAUGUAUCUUAUGCAUGGUACCCCAAAUUUGUGCGACGAGUCGAGUAUUUAGUUUCUACUGGUAUGAGUAAUUUUUCUUCGUGAUUAACUUGUGUAACCGCGAAAGAUCCUAGUAUGAGUUUUCUUUUUAUUGAAUUGCUGCAUCAUUUAUCCCCUCACUACGUGGAUUAUUAUUAUUUUUAUUCACGCAGCACCACGGCAGCAGUCUCACAACCGCUCGAACGCAUAUGGAACUUUUGUUUUUCACAACGGCUCUUAGCAAAUCUCGAGGACGAGAUUUUUCUUAAGGGGGGUAGUAUUGUAACACCCCAAAAAUUUAACCAGGUUUUAGUUAUUAAAAUUUUGCCAAGAGUUUAAAAUUUUUGCAUGCAAGUAUAUCUCUGUUGAUUUCAAAACUUUUCUUUUAAUAUUAAGAAAUUUUUCCCAAGUGGAUCCUUCCAAAAUAUAUUGGACUUAUUUUCCCUCUCAUUUAAAAAAACAUCUCUCAAUCAGGAGAUUUAUUUAUAAAAUUAUUUCACCCUGAGCUUUAUUCAUUAAAUGACUUGUUUUAGAAUUUGGAGCUCUUUUUGAACUACAACCAUUUGAUAUAUUUAACUAAAAAUUUCACCAAGGUUUGGAGAUAUCAUGUGAUGUCUCUAAAUCACUUUUGUGCAAUAAUAUAUUUCAUUCAUUGGAUAUUUUGAGUUCUACACCAAGUUUUCAAAUCUGGUCCAGUGGGCAAUUUUACACUACAACCUAUUUAAAUAUUUACUUAAAACUUCUACCAAAAUUAGGGGAGGUCGGUAGGAGCAUAUUAUUCCACUUUGUGCAAAAACCUAUUUAUGUUCUUUAAAAAAAUUGAGUGAAUCAUCCUCUUUUUCAUUCUGGUCCAGCCUUGUGAUUUCUACUGCAACCCUAUUUAAUUUUGCUCCAAAGAUCUUGUGUUUUCUCCUACUUGUAGACAGCCCUACCAAACCCCUAAAUCCAGGAGCAUGCACCCAUUGGAUUAAUUUUGGUUCAUGAAAUAAUGUCAUUUAUUUCCUGUCCAGAAUUGUAGUUUUGCAAAACUUGCACUAACAAGUUUGUGCUUUUCACAAACUAACCUCACCACUCUCUCUUGCAUCUAAGGAGACCCUGAUCUGGAGGAUUUGGCCACCCCAAGAAGAGCCUAGGUGCCUGUGGCAUUUUGUAAAACACCUGGAGAGCAUAGCCAGAUUUGGCAUGGAUUCAAGUUUACACUAUGAACUUGGUCACCUGACCUAACAACAAUGCCCAUUCACCCUCUAUCUAACCCUAACCUAGCCCUGUUUCUUCCCAGCCUCAACCGCGACCUCUAGCAUGCUCUGGCAUUACGUCGAGCACGUCCCGUGCACGCCCGGAGCGCGAGCAGAGCGUGCGUUUGGCACGCAUUUUGCACGUGUCGCGCCCGAGCCGACGCGUCGCGCCCCUGGCCUUGCCUCCACUGCAGAGCCACGCCACGCACGUCCCUCCUCACCGCAACACACCAAGGCGCCCCCCGCCACGUCCCCGACAGGCCAGGAGCUAGCCGCCACGGCCGCCGACAGCCCCUGCUCCGUUCAGCGCCGCCCAAGCCUCUUCCGCUCGCCACCUGGCCCCUGGAAGAGCGCGAGCUCAUCCACGAGUGUGUCUGCUAGCGCUCGUCGCUGCCACGACGCCCUAGCUACAGAAUGGCGGUCGCAGGCAACCUUAUCCGCAGCCGCCGCGGAACCGCCUUGCCACGCUAUAAAAAAGGACCCCGAGCCCCUCUGAGCACGCACGCAACCUCAGGCUACCCCAUGGAACCCCCAUAGCCCGCAAUCGUCAGGGAAACGCCGCCUUCUUCGUCUCCGGCAACUCCUGCCGCCGCCACUGUCUCAUUCACUCCGGCGCCACCAGGGCUUCCCCCUCUCCACUCUCUUCACCAGAAGUCCUCUCUUCCUCUCGUGAACAGAUCCCCCUACUCAAUUUGGUUCGGGAGCCAUCGCAGCCACAAAACCACUUCGCCACCGAAGCCUCCUCCGCCGCGAAGCUCGCCGCCGGCAGCUCCCUCCGCCCCCACCUACAUGUCGUCCACCGGGAUGACCGCCCUAGAGUGGCGGAUCCAUCCCCGCCCUUGGGGCCCCGCGAGGAGCCGCCAGUCACCGGCGACGAUCGCCGGAGCUCCGCCUCCGCUCGGGACAGAGGAAGGAGAGGGAGAAAGACUAGUCAAACCUGACUAGUGGGCCCCGUGGACCCACUAUCAGUGACCCACUCCGCCGCCACGCGUGUUAAGUGAUAGCGUAAAACCCCAAGUACGUAACCCCUACUUAGAAAGCGUAUUCGUGGCUGAAACGUUUUCUUUUGUUUUAUUUUUAAAAACAGAAUUUGACCAAAACUUUGACUGGUUAUAUCUUUUUAAAUACAACUCCAAAUGAAAUGAUUCUUUUUCCUACCUCUCUCAAAUUUCACCUAGUUUAUUUUAAGAUUUAUUUGAAAAAAAUUCAGAACAACUUUUGGUGCUGUUUUUAUUUUGUGUGUUAAUUCUUUUAUAUUGCUAAAAUAGGAUUUUUGAAGAGAGGAGAAAUGUUUCAAGUUUUGGAGUGCACCCUUCCUUUCCACACAUUGAAGGCAAGCAUUCUGAACCCCGGCAUAAUAUUUUUGUGUGUUCGAUGACACGUUCAUAACAUCACCUCACUUUGGAGAAACUUGUUAUUUCAUGUGAUAUGAUCAUAUGCAUGGGUGCAUGUUAUUGAUUUCCAUGCUGUUGGAAAUGGACACACUUGUGAUGAUAAUCACCCUCAUGUGCCUUGCAUGCAUACCGGCAGGAACCCGGGAAAACCUCUGCCUUGGGUAGGCAUGAGUUUGUCGCCGGUCUCCGUCGGGACGGUUAUGUCUGGUAUGGCAUGGCAAGGUGAUAUGAGCGGUGACUCUAUUGGUUGAAAUAUAUUCGUCAUGCUAAUCAUGCAGGGAAUACUUAAACCUCCAGAGUCGACCGUAGAUCGAGUCUUGUGCCAGUAACCCCCAUACUUGUUUCGUACUACCACUCGUCUCUAUAGCAAGUAGAGUACGGUUCAGUAAGUUGUCAACCUCUUUCUAGCACACACCAUAGAGAGAGGCCAUGGCGGAAGAUACCGGUUGUAGCUGGUAGGCAGGCCACCUGGUCCGGGGACAUGGGUGUUUCCGGUUGGGACCGAGAGGGGAGGCCACCCCUUAGAGCGCGCGAUAUAAAUUUGAUCCCAUGCUACGCGAGGUUGUAGCCUCCCCACUUAGAGUUUGCUUAACAGGUGUCGUGGGUGAUUCCAGACACGUGUGAGAUAAGCUGGUGUGUGCAAGUUAGGUGUGUUUUCAACAAAAAGACCGUAGACCGAAUUAGUCCCGAUGGACUAAAGAAAUCCAUUACUCGUGGGUAAAGAGUACGGCCCUCUGCAGAGAUUAAACCUAUUCGAAUAGCCGUGUCCAUGGUUAAGGAUUACAGUCUGGGAUGGGUCAAGUGUCGGUCUUAGUGUCGGUCUUCGGAGGUGAAACUGUUAACCAGAACUGGAACUACUACCUGUGACUUGUGAUAAUUGUGAUUAUUAUUAUUGUUGACUAACCCGUGAUAUUAUUGUUAUUAUCGAGUAUCUCCGGGAUGGUUCUACCUCCGGGAUAUUCACUAUGAUUGUUUAUUUUAAAGCCCUUUGUGUGGUGUCGCUCAGACGCCCGACUGUGGCAUUUCUUUUAAAGCCCUUUAUGUGGUGUCGCUCAGACGCCCGAUUGUGGCAUUUCUUUUAAAGCCCUUUAUGUGGUGUCGCUCAAACGCCCGACUGUGGCAUUUCUUUUAAAGCCCUUUAUGUGGUCUCGCUCAGACGCCCGACUGUGGCAUUUCUUUUAAAGCCCUUUGUGUGGUGUCGCUCAGACGCCCGACUGUGGCAUUUCUUUUAAAGCCCNNNNNNNNNNNNNNNNNNNNNNNNNNNNNNNNNNNNNNNNNNNNNNNNNNNNNNNNNNNNNNNNNNNNNNNNNNNNNNNNNNNNNNNNNNNNNNNNNNNNNNNNNNNNNNNNNNNNNNNNNNNNNNNNNNNNNNNNNNNNNNNNNNNNNNNNNNNNNNNNNNNNNNNNNNNNNNNNNNNNNNNNNNNNNNNNNNNNNNNNNNNNNNNNNNNNNNNNNNNNNNNNNNNNNNNNNNNNNNNNNNNNNNNNNNNNNNNNNNNNNNNNNNNNNNNNNNNNNNNNNNNNNNNNNNNNNNNNNNNNNNNNNNNNNNNNNNNNNNNNNNNNNNNNNNNNNNNCCCUUUAUGUGGUGUCGCUCAGACGCCCGACUGUGGCAUUUCUUUUAAAGCCCUUUAUGUGGUGUCGCUUAGACGCCCGACUGUGGCAUUUCUUUUAAAGGCCUUUAUGUGGUGUCGCUUAGACGCCCGACUGUGGCAUUUCUUUUAAAGCCCUUUAUGUGGUGUCGCUAAGAUGCCCGACUGUGGCUUUGCUUGUUAUUUAUUUCAUAAAUUUUAAUACUACUAUGUUAUUGCAAUUUUAUAAAUAACUUGCUUGCACGCAUCAGAGAUUUAUUUAUCUUUUGUGACUGACGUCAUGAGCAUAAAAUAUUUUCAGCACAUCAUUGUUAUAUUAUACCUGUGUUCAUAAUGUUUGCGAGUACAUUCAAAGUACUCACUGGCUUGUCCCUGGCUAUUGUCUUGGCCAGAUUUUCUUGCACGAAGAGGAGCGAUGCGAUGACAGCCCCGGAACCUAAGUAAUGGAGAUAGCAGCCUCGCGAAGAUAGGAGUUAACCUGGUUAGCUGUUCCCGUGGGAAAUGGAGUCCCAUAGACACUGAUGUUUCACAACCCGCUUCCGCCAUCAACCACUAGAAACCAUUUGUUGUACUCACAGGCCAGAAUGGCCUUGUACUACAUAUUUUGUUUUCUGCUUGGAAUUUCUGUAUCAAGUUGGAGCCUCAUCAGCUAACAGCAAUCCUGGGGCUGAUGAGCACGACGGUCUUUUUUGGAAAUUUAUUACCCGGAAAACCGGUCGUGACAAAGACCGUAGAUGGAAUUAGUCCCGAUGGACUAAAGGAAUCCGUUACUCGUGGGUAAAGAGUACACCCUCUGCAGAGAUUAAAUCUAUUCAAAUAGCCGUGUCCAUGGUUAAGGACUACAGUCUGGGAUGGGUCAAGUGUCGGUCUUAGUGUCGGUCUUCAGAGGAGAAACUGCUAAACCAAAACAUGGAUCAUGACUUGUGACUUAUGGUGAUUAUGAUUAUUAUUAUGGACUAACCAUUUACAUUAUUUGAAUUAUUGAGUAUCCCUGGGAUGGUUCUACCUGCUGGAUAUUACACUUUGAUUACUUUCUUAUAAGCCCUUUAUGUGGUGUCGCACAGACGCCCGACUAUGGCAUGCUUGUUUUUUAUUUACUUUAUCAGACCUUUAUGUGGUGUCGCUCAGACGCCCGACUGUGGCAUGCUCGCUAUUUAAACUACUUACAAGCCCUUUAUGUGGUGUCGCUGAGACGCCCGACUGUGGCAUACUUGUUAUUUCACUUUACAAGCCCUUUAUGUCGUGUCACUCAGACGCCCGACUGAGGCAUGCUUGAAAUUAUUAUCCUUUCGAGGCGUCACAUCCGACACCCGAUCGGUGCAUUUUAUUUCUACUAUGUUGUUGCAUAUUCAUGUUGUAUAUAAAUAACCUGCUUGCAUGCAUCAGGGAUUUUAUUUUAUGACUGACGUUGUGAUCAUAGAAUAUUUUAGAGCAUGAUUAUCUUUUGUUAUAUUAUACCCGUGUUCAUAAUGUUUGCGAGUACAUUCAAAGUACUCACUAGCUUGUCCCUAGCUAUUGUCUUGGCCAGAUUCUUGCAUGGAGAGGAGCGUUGUGAUGACGACCCCGGAACCUACGCAAUGACGAUAGCAGCCUCGCGAAGAUAGGAGUUAUCUAGGUCAGAUGUUCCUAUGAGAAAUGGAGUCCCAUAGACGCUGAAAGACCACACACCGCUUCCGCCAUCAGCCACUAAAAACCAUAUGUUGUACUCAUAGGCCAGAAUGGUCUUGUACUCCAUAUUUUGUAUUUGCUUGGAAUGUCUGUAUCAAGUUGGUGCCUCAUCAGCUAACAGUAAUCCUGGGGCUGGUGAGCACAAGGACCAUUUUCUGGGAAAUUAAUAUCCCAAAAAUCCGGUCCUAACAAACUUGGUAUCAGAGCCAGGCUGACCAUUGGCUAAUCCUAUCUUAGCCAGGUCGAAAAACCUAGGUUAACCAACCCAACAGACCUUAACCUAACCCCGGCCAAGCUUCUCGCGUAAGAUAGCCACACAGUGACCCUGACACCUUUUGGCAGUCGGUGCCCAACCUAUCAGCCUAGCCUGUCGAUCACGCGCCAGUGACCGACACCUAAAUUGUCUCAUUCGCAAGCGUGCGAAGGAAGACUCCGUCCCCUUUCUCUAUAGAAAAGGCACGCUAGCCUCAACAUAGCAUAGCACAGCCUCUACCCCAAAGCCGAGCUAUAAUGCCUGGCCCCAUUGUUCACAAUGAGACCACAACAACCAACCUUGGAGGUUUUGUGACCGUGCUAGCAAACCUCACCCGUCGUGCCUUUGCAUUAGAAGAGCCCCCAGAAUAUGUUGUGUACCAAGGACCCAUGAGCGGUGAGAGCCGUCAAUUCUGGGCCACCGUGCACGUCUAUGGUAGCGUUCUAUCUAUAGAAUGCCCCUACAGGUUCACCAGAAGGACAAUAUCCUUUGAGCCACAAGCCAUCCAACUAGCUGCUCGAGAGGCUAUAGUUCAACUCCGGCACUUGUCGCCCAGAGUUAGUUGUCGCUCGUUCUACUACUACCCCAGCCGUGACGGGUAUGGUAGGCCACCCCAGGUUGCCAACGGAAAUCACGAGACGGAUCCUGCAUGGUUGCAUCUGGUGCGCUAUGUAAGUGCACUAGAGGAUCUGUUCAAUCAAGUCACUCUUGAUCUGAUCGCAGCUCGUGGAGAGCUGAUACGCCGAGCCCCGGCAAGAGGAGAAGAUGAGCCCGAUGCUGACAACCCAGUCGUGCUGUUCGGACAACCGAUCGAUUCCUUGAGGUCUGCCCCAGUCAUCGACCAAAAUACUUUGAUGUCCCUAGAAGUGCUUCGUCGCCUUUUGGGAACACGCUCCAACGGGAUUGUGGCCAACAACCCCCACAAGGGUCAUCAUCGCUACCCCGACCCGGUAGUUCCUCAACCCCCUCCAACUAACCCCGGCGGUGAAACCCGUGGAGGAGCCUUGACGUCCACAAGGCACGCCCGCUUAGAUAUUAACGAGGUAGACUGAGUCACUCGAGUAGUACCGAGUCUUAGUAUGUCUACGCCCUGUAACUGUGUGAUCCUGUUUCGCCAUAAUUAAAUGCUAUUUGCUUGUGCGCCCCUAUUAUAAAUAGUAGCCAUGCAUAAGUAUGUUGGUGUGUGAUUGCUUUUUUUAUUCUGGGUGUAGCCACCAAAAACCAACCCCGACGGCACAAAGUUUGUGCUAUGAGUAAACUGUUUGGUUCCAUCUAAUGGGAGUAAUAUUUUCAAAAACAACCCAUAGCAAACCUAGAGGACGAGAUUUUUUCUUAAGAGGGGUAGUGUUGUAACACCCCAAAAAUUUAACCAUGUUUUGUUUAUUAAAAUUUUGCCAAGAAAUUAAUUUUUUUUUGGAUUUUUUUUGGAUUUCAGAACCACUCUUUCUCCUAAAUUGUGAAGUUUUCACCCCAAGUAAAAACUUUUCAAAAGUAUUGUUGGACUUAUAUACUCUCUCAAGGAAAACAUUUCUUUUAUCAGUGGGAUUAUUUAUAUAAUUAUUUUCCCCUGAGCUUUAUUUCUCUAAAAAUGAUUUUUCAUAAGAUUUAGGGUCCCAUUUGCACUGCAACCCUUUGAUAAAUUUAUUUUAAAAACCCACCAAAAUUUGGGGAUGACAUGUGAUGUCCCUCAAUCACUUUUGUGCAAAAAUAGUCCUUAGUCUUUUGGAGAUUUUGAGCUUUACCCCAAGUAUUCAAAUCUGGUCCAGUUGCACUUUUACACUACAACCUAUUUAAAUAUUUCUUUAAAACUUCCACCAAAAUUAGGGGAUGUUAGUAGGAGUAUGCUAUUCAUCUUUGUGCAAAAACCCACUAAUGUUCUUUGAAAAAUUUGAGCAAAUCAUCCUCUUUUGCUCUCUGGUCUUGUUUGGCAUUUUCUGCUGCAGCCCCAUUUUAUUUUGAUCUGUUGCCCAUGAUUCUUUUUCUUGCUUAUAAACCACCUUGCAAAACCCUUAAGUCCAGGAGAGUGGACCCAUUGGGGUAGUUUUGGUCCAUGAAAUGAUAGCCUCUAGUUUCUGUCUAGAAUUGGUUUUCUCAAAUGCAUGCACUAACUAGUUUCCACUUUUGCCAAACUAACCUUGCCACCCUCUUUUACACCUAAAGAGACACUGAUCUGGAGAGUUUAGCUACCCCAAGAGUUGCCUAGAUGCACAUGGCAUUCUGUCAAACACCUUGUGUGCAUGGCCAGUUUUGGCUUGGUUUUUAGUUUGCAUUGUGGACUUGAUCCCCUAACCAAACCACCAUGUCCACUAAUAUCCUUGAAAACCCUAACCUAGACCUGCUAAACCUCAUGUGGAUUAGAGCCCCCUGGCAGGCAUUGGCAUUUUGUCGAGCACCUCGUGUGCGUGCUCUGGGCGCGCCUAGAGCGCACGUUUUGCACGCGCGCGCACCGAGUCACCGCGUCCCACUGCCGCCUCCCCGCGCUCGUUCUGGCCCCUCCCCUCUUGCAGCCAUCGCGCCCGACCCCUCCCUCGCUGCAGAGCCGCCCCAGGAGCCCCACAACAUCGCCGUCAGGUCGGCCAUGGCAGCUAGCGGCCAGCCACAGUGGGCCUCUACCAUGGACGGCGCCGCCCAAGCCACAGCCGUGCGCCAGCUCGCCCUGAAUAGCUCGAGCUCAUCCCCUCGCCCUGCCAGACCCCGCCAGCCAUCGUCACGUCGCCCCGCAGCUACAGAACGGCGGUUCGCCAUCGAUCUUAUCUCCGGCUGCCGCGAAACCGACCUAAUCAGGCUAUAAAAGGAGCCCCGAGCCCAUCCGGACACUCAGGCGACCUCCUACCAUCCCACUAGUGCGCCCCACGACCAGCAAGCAACGGCGGGAAGCCUUCUUCCUCGCCUUCGGCCAGUUCGACCGCCGCCACUCUCCGACUCAGUUCGUUGCGAGCAGGCCCUCCCCCGUCCAUCCAGCGCCACCACCCGACUCCACUUGAUCUUGCGGAGCCGCCCAAACCCUCAGCUUCGACGGAGAGCCACCAUAGCGCGAAGCCCCAAUACUCCUGAAGAUGUCGUCCGCCGCGGAGCUCGCCGCCGGCGACUCCCUCUGUCCCCGCCAGCCUCUCGACCACCGGGAGGACCGCCCUGGACUCGCGGAUCCAUCCCCGCCCUCAUAACACCGCGAGGAGCCGCCGUUCGCUGACGCCGAUCGCCGGAGCCCCGCCUCUGUUCGGCCAGAGGAGGAAGGAGGCACGGGCGACCAGUCAAACCUGACCAGUGGGCCCCCUGGAUCCACUGUCUGUGACCCUGAGCCGGUCCACGCUAGCAUUAGUGGAGACGUAAAGCCCGGAGUACGUUUCCCCCCGCCCGAACCGUUUUUUCUUUUUCUGUUUCUUUUAUUAUUAUGUUUAAAACAGAAAUUUGACUAAACUUUGACUGGCUAUAACUUUUUAAAUAUAACUCCAAAUGAGUUGAUUCUUUUUCCUACCUCUCUCAAAUUUCACCUAGUUUAUUUUAAGUUUUAUUUCAAAAAUAAUUAGGAAAAAUUCUUGUACUGUUUUUAAAGUUUGAAUAUUUUCAAAAAAUAGGAUUUUGGAGAGAGAAAAAACUCUCAAAAGUUUUGGAAUGCACCCUGGCUCUCCACAACUUGAAGGCAAGCAUUCUGAGCCCUGGCAUAAUGUUGUCGUGUGUUGUUUGAUACGGUUGCAACACCCCUUGUCUCGGAGUUUUCAUUAUUUUAUGUGAUGAUAUGAACAUACUCAUAAGUGCAUAUUGAUGAUUUCGUGCUUUUGGAAUUUGAUACGUUGUGAUAGUAAUCACCCUCGUAUGCCUUUCAUGCCUAUCGGAAGGAAGCCGGGAAAGUCUCUGUCUUGGGUAGACACGAGCUUGUCUCUAGUUCCUCAUCGAGACAGUGGUGUCCGGUUAGGCAUGAUGAGUGGUGAUUCUGUCUGUUGAUUGUAAUAUAUUUGUCAUGCUAAUCAUGCAGGGAAUGCUUAAACCUCUUGAGUCAGCCGUACAUCGAGUCUUGUUCCAGUAACCCCCAUACUUAUUUCGUACUACCACUUGUCCCUACCACAGGUAGGGUACGGUUCAGUAAGUUGUCAACCCCUUUCUUGGCACACACCGUACAGAGAGGCCAUGGUGGAAGAUACCGGCUGCAUCCGAUAGGCAGGCCACCUGGUCCGAGGGCAUGGGUGUUUCCGGUUGGGACCGAGAGGGGGCACCCCUUAGUAGCGUGCGGUAUAAAUUUGAUCCCAUGCUAAUCGAGGUUGUAGCCUCCCCACUUAGAGUUUUGCUUGACAGGUGUCGUGGGUGAUUCCAGACACCAGUAAGUUAAGCUGGUGUGUGCGGGUCAGGUGUGUUUUCAAUUAAAAGACCGUAGACGGAAUUAGUCCCAAUGGACUAAAGGAAUCCGUUACUCGUGGGUAAAGAGUACACCCUCUGCAGAGAUUAAAUCUAUUCAAAUAGCCGUGUCCAUGGUUAAGGACUACAGUCUGGGAUGGGUCAAGUGUCGGUCUUAGUGUCGGUCUUCGGAGGAGAAACUGCUAAACCAAAACAUGGAUCAUGACUUGUGACUUAUGGUGAUUAUGAUUAUUAUUAUGGACUAACCAUUUACAUUAUUUGAAUUAUUGAGUAUCCCUGGGACGGUUCUACCUCCUGGAUAUUACACUUUGAUUACUUUCUUAUAAGCCCUUUAUGUGGUGUCGCACAGACGCCUGACUAUGGCAUGCUUGUUUUUUAUUUACUUUAUAAGCCCUUUAUGUGGUGUCGCUCAGACGCCCGACUGUGGCAUGCUCGCUAUUUAAACUACUUACAAGCCCUUUAUGUGGUGUCGCUGAGACGCCCGACUGUGACAUACUUGUUAUUUCACUUUAUAAGCCCUUUAUGUGGUGUCGCUCAGACGCCCUACUGAGGCAUGCUUGAAAUUAUUAUCCUUUCGAGGCGUCGCUUCAGACACCCGAUUGGUGCAUUUUAUUUCUACUAUGUUAUUGCAUAUUCAUGUUGUAUAUAAAUAACCUGCUUGCAUGCAUCAGGGAUUUUAUUUUAUGACUGACGUUGUGAUCAUAGAAUAUUUCAGAGCAUGAUUAUCUUUUGUUAUAUUAUACCCGUGUUCAUAAUGUUUGCGAGUACAUUCAAAGUACUCACUGGCUUGUCCCUAGCUAUUGUCUUGGCCAGAUUCUUGCAUGGAGAGGAGCAUUGCGAUGACGACCCCAGAACCUACGCAAUGAUGAUAGCAGCCUCGUGAAGAUAGGAGUUAUCCAGGUCAGUUGUUCCUGUGGGAAAUGGUGUCCCAUAGACGCUGAAAGACCACACACCUCUUCCGCCAUCAGCCACUAAAAACCAUUUGUUGUACUCAUAGGCCAGAAUGGUCUUGUACUCCAUAUUUUGUAUUUGCUUGGAACGUCUGUAUCAAGUUGGUGCCUCAUCAGCUAACAGUAAUCUUGGGGCUGGUGAGCACAAGGACCAUUUUCUGGGAAAUUAAUAUCCCGAAAAUCCGGUCCUGACAUUCAAGGGACUAGUGUGCCAUUUCGGGGUGCCCAAUAGGAUCAUCACCGACAACGGCACCCAAUUCACAAGCCAUGCCUUCAUGCAAUACAUUGAAGAUCUCGGUAGUAGGGUCUGUUUUGCUUUCGUGGCACAUCCACGGAGCAACGGUCAAGCGGAGAGAGCAAAUGUUGAAGUCCUGCUAGGCUUAAGAACAAAGACUUUUGACAGGCUGCAUAGGAGCAGAAGGCGCUGGAUUGAUGAGUUGCCAGCGGUUCUUUGGUAGAUUAGAACGACGCCAAAUCGAGCCACCGGCCAGACACCCUUUGCCCUGGUUUACGGGGCAGAAGCAGUUCUCCCCACCGAACUCAUAUAUGGGUCACCUCGAGUGCUCUCUUAUGAUGAACUUGAGCAAGAGCGAUUGCGGCAAGAUGACGCGACGCUCCUUAAGGAAGAUCAUCUCUGGGCGGCUAUGAGAGCAGCACGCUACCAGCAAGCCUUGCGCCGCUACCAUAGCCGCAAGGUUCAUGCCCGAAGCUUUGAGGAAGGCGACCUUGUUGUUCAUCAUGUUCAGUCGGCCAAGAAUUCCAACAAGUUGACGCCAAAGUGGGAAGGCCCUUAUCGGGUAAUACGAGUCACCAGGACCGACGCAGUCAGACUGGAGACCGAAGAUGUCGUUCCAGUGAGCAACUCCUGGAACAUCGAGCAUCUCCGCAAGUUUUACCCAUAAGGCGUGGCUGCCGGGCCUCCCGGCAAGCCACCCUUUUGUACAAGCCUUGCCGGCAAGGCAUGUAACCCUUUGUACAAAGCCAGGCACAGACCCUAAGCAUAAAUAAACGAAGCGCUGGCGCCCUAAGUUAUAGCAUGCACGCUAGGUUGAGUCUCUUCCUUGGUUUGGGUUAAUAGUGCUUAGCGGUGGCUAACCCCUAGCGUAGAGGUCGAGUGCGCGUCUCUCUGUUCUUCUCUAUCUUAUUUGGUUUGCAGGGCACAUAAAUAUCCUUGCCGAGCUAUUUUGAAAGAAAGGGGACGGACCGGCGUCCGAGCCCCGGCAAGCCAAAGUUGCCGGGGGCUACAAGGACAAGGAUUCAUACGCGGCAAGACGAGGUUGCCGGGGGCUGCAGAUCCAGAUAAGUUAUCUAUCCCCUAUCAUGCAUUUCGUUGUGGACUGGGAUACGUGAAACCCUGUUCUAUCCCUGAGUACUGUUCUCCCGCUUUUUCGGCACCCAAGGAUUAUCCCCUGGGUCUGAAUUUGGUCGUAGCCGCGGCAGCAAUGAAGAGGACCGAGGAGCCUAAGCCCACCGCAUCCCUGUCUCCGCGAAGGGCGUGAGAAAGGUCGAGCGAAGUGGGGAGAUGGCAAGGCCUGUUGCCGGGCAAAAAAUGUUUAUCUUAAAGGUAACAAGGGUUCACUCCUUGUUGUGGGUUCCACCUGCGAACGAAAAACCCGACAAACAUCCCUUUUUCAUUAAAAAAACAUCCCAUACAGGUACAGUUCAUACGAAAUGAAAAACAUGAACAAGGGGAUUACAAGUUCUAAAGUUAACAAAGGCCCAAAGGCUUACAAGAUUAAAAAGAUACAAGGUGCCCGUAACCCCUUUCUUGUCCCUCUUCUCAGGAAAUGGAACAAGAAAGCAGAAGGGCAAAAGGGGCGCCUAGGCGAGCUAUGAGUGGUAGAAGACACCAAGGGUACAUCUCGGUGGCCGUCCAAGGUAUGGAUGGUGAUGGCGGCGCCAGAGGCAGAGCUCGAAGACGAGGCGACAGGACGUCAAUACACGACGAAGGCGACGGUGCCCGCGUACUCCGACUUGACGGCCUUGCCGCCCGCCCUCUUCCUCUUCCGGAGCCUCCCAACACCAGCCGCCCAAAGAGACGACCCCGAGAAGUUCAAGGAGCCGGCGACAUGGAUGAUGGGGUCGCCGGUGCCACUCGGAGUGGCGCCCGAUGCCUAGUCGGACCCGUCAUCCUGCCGCCCGCUAGCCUCAUCGUCGCUGCCAUUGUCUUCCUCGCCACUCUCGCUCGAGGAGGAAUCUUCAUCGUCAUAAGAGCUCUCCAUGCAGCACCUUACACGAGUCCCGAAGUGCCCGAAGAUCUUGACGGAGAGGAGGCCACCCUCCAUUAGUUUGAAAUGGAGAGUGAGCCCAUCUGUCAAGCUGUGGAGGCGAGCGUAGGUCUUCCACCCUCGGUGGAGAUACAUGACGUGAGGGGCGGGGAACUCGACGUCAGCCCAUGUGCCGCUGUUCCCGCAACCCCUCAUAUGCAGCCGCAACGCCUGUGGCGGAUCCAGCUCCAUCUCCCGCGCAAAUGGAGUCGGGAGGCGAAGGCGAUGGCGCGGUGGCUGGCGCAGCCUGACGAAGAAUUCGCAGGGGUUGUCCCCGGCGUGGCCCUCCAUCGGAGGAGUGGCUGCUGGCGGAGGCGAGGCUGAUCUGCCGCUCUGUCCUCCUCUCCCUCGAGCACCACGAUGGCCUCGACCUCGCCCCACCCCUUCCUCUAGCGGCCGGCUCUGCCACUAUGAGCUCUUGGGGAGGAGUGAUACGCUGUCUGGCCAACACCCUUGCCGCCACCGAUGAAGCAUCAUCGCGCCCCCUCGCCAUGGCAGAAGAAAGGAGGAAGCAGGAAUGGGGAGAGGCAGAUGACGAAGGGUUGAGAGGCACCGUUCCUCCCGCUCCCCUCUUUAUAAAGGGGCAGGGGCAAGGCUCGACCACCCUCCCCGCUCCAUUGAAGGCGCGUGGGAAUCAACCCACGCACGCGCGUGACUUCCCACAUCCCGCGCGCCUGCCAUUCGCUCUGCAUUAUGCAUACAGCGAACAUGGCGCAACGGGCGGGCGCAGUGGGACGCGUGGAGCGACGGUUCCCAAGCGAGGGCAGUAAAUGGGAGGUGGCCCUGCGGUCUCAAAGAGACACGCAAGCCGCCUCUUUACUGUCCACCACAAGGUGACGCCGGCAUGCUUCCGUCAUGCGCGCGCGCACGACCCCCACGUCACGCAUUCAACACGGGUCGUGGGGAAGCACAGCGGACGGAGUAGUGGCCGCAGUAAAAAUCCGCCCCAACUGCCCACACACCGUUCUGGGCCUAGCCCAACAACGUGUUGCGCUUAUGAAUGGCGCAAGCCCGGGGGCUCCUAUCGGUGUACAAAAGUAGGGGCCCUCCUUUUGACCCCUUUACUUAUGGACGGGCAGUCAGAGCCUCCCGCCACGGCCACGCAUAACAGGGCAGGGAAGGAAUCUGGAGAGAAGCCGAAGACACAAGGCAGACAGAGCAACGACAAGGACCAAGGCCACAAAGAUAAGAUGGAUGAAGCAGGUUUCCCCGGCAAGGACCCUUGCCGGGGCAGCCUCAGCAGCCCCGGCAAGACCCUUGCCGGGGAAGCUCGCCCCUGCCAGCCGAGCGAGCCACCUUUGAGCCCACCAACACUAAAACAAACUCGUUGGGACUGGUCUCAGGAGGCACCUCCGUGGUGGCAUGCAGAUCUUUGUGAAGACAAAGAAUAGCCAAGAUCAAAUGAGGAUAGGAAGCCAACCAUCCUCACCGAAGAAACCCAGAAGACCCACGGUAGGACCCUUGCCGGGGACGCCUGCGCGCCACGGCAAGACCCUUGCCGGGCCACCCGGCAAGACCCUUGUCGGGCCGCCCGGCAAGGCCCUCGCCAAGCAUGCCAGCGGGGCCACUUCCAAGCCCGUGCCAGACAAGUCUUCACGGCCGUUCGCAUGCAGCUGCCGACCCAACCAGCUGGGAAGGCACCAGCAUGGCAACAUGCAGCACCUGCGUGGCAAUGUGCAGCCCUUUGUGGAGGCUCCACCAUCGCGCCACCUCAGCUGCCUGCCUGCCUACAUGGCACCGCAUGCAUCACUGACCAGGGCGUGUGUCGGAGCAAGGAGGAGCGGCGACGGACGUGACGGGCCUCGCCCCCGUCCCCGAUAAAGUGAAGGGACACCUAAGCCUCGCAUUAAAUGUGAUUUUUCCUAUAAUACCAACGAUAAGCUCGUGACACUGUAGCACUUUCCACCUCCUGUGUGCCACCGUGGCUGCCCCUUUCGCCUAUAAAAGGAGGCCCAUGGCGCACUAGAGAAGGAUUCAACUUUUCGAACCUAGCAGCACCCAGAACUAGUUCAAGAGCUCAAGAACACUAAAUACAUCCACCAAAGCAGGAUCGUAGGGUUUUACGCAUCUUUGCGGCCCGAACCUGGGUAAAUCCCCUUUAUGUUGUCUACUAGUCCCGCUCUUCUCACGAUCCCCGCGCCCCGCAACCGUAGAAGGGAUUCUUGUCAGGACCCCGACUCAAUGGCACACCGAUCUAGCAUGUAACACCUCAUAUCACUUUGCGGCCUCACGCACGGUAUUCCCAUGGGUGUCGCCUUACCAGGCCCGGGACCGUUUGCGCCUUUUGGCACACGUAUAUGAUAGUGUCGCUAGCAUCCAUAUGACAAGGAGCCCGGGCUGACAUGGCUAGUCGUGACCCGAAGUGGCACUAACUUACAGGGACAGGCAUACAUGACCCAGCAACGAACGUGUCGGUCAUCAGCGGGUGAAUCCGGGCUGUUGCAACUGGGCUAGCAGGACUCCGGUAAACCGGGUUGUAGCAGGCUAACAGGACUCCGGUGGACACCGCGUGACAUUUCCCCGAAGGGACAGACACAGGAACGAAGAAGGACACAUGCCGGCCAUCCUAAGUGUUCCGGAGCAGUAGCAAGCUACCAGGGCUCAGUGGAAGCACUAGGAGACAUUUCCCGGUAAGAGAGGCUACCAAGGAUAAACAACUAGAUAGUCAGAUCCCACACAUAGCAAGCAUUUCAAUAACAUACACACAAUAUGCUCGAUAUGUGCAAAUACAACAUGGCAUCACAACAUGACUCUACGACUCAAGUAUUUAUUCAAUAGGCUCCGAGGAGCGAGAUAUUACAAACAUGGGUCUCAUGACCCAACAUUCAGAGGAUACAAGUCAAAGCACACGCAGAAGCUUAACAUGUCUGAGUACAAACAACUAUAAAUGAAAAAGGCUGGGAAGCCUGACUAUCUACCAGAUCCUGCUGAGGGCACAAGAUCGUAGCUGAGGUAACAAGCUAAACGUCGAAGUCCACACAGAAUUACUAGUGAGGCUGAAGUCUCUCUACAAAACAUAAAAUAGGCAAACGUGAGUACAAACGUACCCAGCAAGACUUACAUCAGAACUAACUACAUAUGCAUCAUUUUCAACAAAGGGGGUGGUGGGGUUUAACUGCAGCAAGCCAGCUGUGACUCGGUGGCUAUCCUGAACUAGGACUGCAAGUAACUCUUUUGAGGUGGCGCACACGAGUCCACAUAUUCACCAUAUCAAUACACCACUAUGGAUCCGCUCCCGUCUACCUACAAGAACGCCAUCCAUAGCACUCAUGCUUAUCUUGCGCAUUUUAGAGUAUCCACUUCAAGUUAUCUAUGAACUGUACAGGCAACCUAGAAGUCCUUUACCGCGGACACGGCUAUUCGAAUAGAUCAUAUUAACCCUGCAGGGGUGUACUUCUUCACACACGCUCUCACCACUUACCGCCGUUUACACGACAUGUACUCGGCAACCUUCAAGUGGAAGCCCAGCGAGGGUGUCGGCCACGACCUGACUAACCACACAAGUCUCUCGUCCAGGUUUAUCGCCUAUUCGGGUUCCAUCCGCAAGGACAUCUGGCCGGGGUGUCGCUCACGGCCCCAAACGAUGUGUGCAGGGUUCCCAAGCCCACCUCGACGGGUGGAUCUACGCUUGGUACACCGUGCCAUGGUGCCUAGUCUGUCCAAAGCCCACUUGUCCCGGGUGCCACUUGGUAGACUACUAACACUACCUACAAACAACAGAAACUAUUUGCAACUCCUGGACAGAGAUCAUGUUGAUUAAUAAGUCGAGAGGGGUCGAGUUACCGGAACCCAAUGUGUGGUAGUAACUGUUCAUGGAUCACAAACACAGAACUCAGUUCCUGAGGACGGUUUCAAUGAGACAACCCACCAUGUACUCCUACAUGGCCUCUCAUCGCUACCUUUACCAAAUCGUGUUCACACACUUAGCUCUCAACGGUAGGACAUGUUCACCACAUUCCAAUUCAUCCCCGAUGAAUCAGACCUGACACAACUCUAAGCAAUAGCAGGCAUGACAAACAAGCAUGAAGGAGUAGGCACAUCAGGGCUCAAACAACUCCUACUCAUGCUAGUGGGUUUCAUCUAUUUACUGUGGCAAUGACAGGUCAUGCAGAGGAAAGGGGUUCAACUACCGCAGCAUUUAACAGUUGAAUCAUUGUUGUCCUAAUGCAGUAAAAGAGAGCAGGAGCGAGAGAGUGGGAUUGUAUAGGAAUGAACAAGGGGGUUUUGCUUGCCUGGCACUUUUGAAGAUAGUAUAAUCUUCAUCGGUGUCAUCGAACUCAUCGUCGGAACAACGUCUACUGAGGGGGGGACAAACACCGGCAACACAGAAGGAAACACAAUCAAUGCAAUGCAACAAUAUGAUGCAUGAGUGUGACAUGGCAAUCUGCUGUGGUUUGAGCUAAUGCAACUAGCAACCAGAUUAAAUGAAGCUGGUUUGAAUCAAAGAUUCAAAUUCAAACUCCAUAUGUGAUUUCUUAAAUGCCAUUUAAUUGAAUUGUCCUAAACAUUAGUCACAAGUUGUUCUAACAUGCAUGAAAAUGGUACAGAUGGAUAGAUUGGAUUUUUCUGAUCAAUUUUCAUAUAUAAUUUAUUUCAUUUGGAGUUACGGUUGAUUUUCUAUGAAUUUUAGAAUUUUGAACAUUUUCUGGAAUUACCUGAAUAAGAAUAAAUCCAGUAAAUGAUUUAUUGCGUAAGCACUACAUCACUGUGACGUCAGCAGGUCAACAGGCGCUGCUGCAGGUCAAACCUGAGCAGUGGCGUCCACUAGUCAGUGACUGAGGCUGGUUAGUGCCGCUGACAUGUUGGCCCAGUCAACGGCCAUGUCAGCUUGGUCAAAAUUGACGCGUGGGGUUGCUGUUGUUAAUUAAAAGUAGACAGGAAAAUAAACUGUGGUUAGUUAGGCAGUGGGGCCCAGCUGUCAGUGACUGUGCUGGGUAAUUAGCAGUGUGAUUAGGCACUAAUUAAGCCGGCCACGUCGGCGGUUAACCGCCGGUGACACACAGACGCGGCGACGUCGCUUGUUCCGGCGACUCCGAUGACGGGAGGAGGUGGGGUUGGGCUCUACGGCUGCGGCGCGAUGGGGCGCAUCGGGUGGUAGCCAUGGGCGGUCAGAAACAGCAACGGCGGCGAGCGAGGCGGCGGCCGUAGCUCGGGUGGGUGAGGGGUUAGCGCUGCGGCUUACAAACGAGCCGGUUGCCGCGCUAAUUUUGCUCUACGGGAUGUUGCGAGUGCAACGGAUGCACGCGCUGGGCCAAAAGGUCAUCGGGGCUUCGCCGGCGAUGAGCCCAGGCGGCGGCGGGUUUCGGUCAACAACGGGGCGACGGCUACGGCGUGUGAGAGCGAGAACUGAGAGGGGGAGAAGGGGAAGGAGCUCACGACGAGUGCAGAGGUGGCCUCGGCGUGCUCGAGGAAGCACCGGAGCGAGUGGGGAGGCGAGAGGGAUCUCUGGCGGCCGGCGACGAAGGUGAUGAAGAUGGCGUCGAUCCAGGGUCUCCGGCGAGGCGCGGCUUGGUGGGGAGGAAGAGGGGUCGAGGCAAAGCUUUUGGGCACGUCGGAGAAGUGAGGGGGAGGCGGUGGCUGUGGCAGCAGUAAGCAGCGGCGACGAGCUCUGCNNNNNNNNNNNNNNNNNNNNNNNNNNNNNNNNNNNNNNNNNNNNNNNNNNNNNNNNNNNNNNNNNNNNNNNNNNNNNNNNNNNNNNNNNNNNNNNNNNNNNNNNNNNNNNNNNNNNNNNNNNNNNNNNNNNNNNNNNNNNNNNNNNNNNNNNNNNNNNNNNNNNNNNNNNNNNNNNNNNNNNNNNNNNNNNNNNNNNNNNNNNNNNNNNNNNNNNNNNNNNNNNNNNNNNNNNNNNNNNNNNNNNNNNNNNNNNNNNNNNNNNNNNNNNNNNNNNNNNNNNNNNNNNNNNNNNNNNNNNNNNNNNNNNNNNNNNNNNNNNNNNAGGGGGUGCGUGGCGUUGUUGGAGACGUUCGGAGCGUCGAGGAUGCAGGCAAGCAGGGUGGAGGUGGCCGGACGGUGGUGCGCACGCGUCGGGCACGCGCCCGUCCUCCUGGCAGGGAGGAAGACGACGGGGAGGGGCCCUCGUGGGCUGGGCCGGUCAACUACAGUGCUGGGCCGGUUGGUGGCGCCAGGUAAACUCUGUUCUGUUUUAUUUCUACUGUUUUGUUUCACGUUUUUCCUAAUAUUUCAAUUCUGUUUUGAUUUAUAAAUAAUACUAAACCAUUUUUAUUUCUUCUGAAAUUAUUUGUGGGUGCUAAAUGGACUAUCCCAAACUCCCACAAUAUUUUCCAGAAUUAUUGGAGUUAUAAAAGUAUUUAUAGGAAUUUAUAACUCCAACUCAAUUACAAUAUGAUUUAAUUCAAUAAUCUAAAAAUGAUCUAAGAAUAUAUUCAUCAUUUUUGGCAGAGGUUCCCACCUUAAUCAGAAAUCAUGAACUUUUCUUAGGGACAUUUUGGGUUCAUUGAAAAUUAUUUUAGGUUGAACCUAUUUGAUUUGAUCUGGUGCUAGGGUUUGGACAAUCCCCAUUUCAAGUUUAAAAGAGAUUUAGACACGAUGCAUCAUGCAGAUCUAACCCAAAUGCAUUACUGAACUAGGGUUGUGACAACUCUAGUGAUCCCAUAGGUGUCGUUUCCCACCGACAAUGUGACUGUUAGGAUUUUCGAUGGGACCUACAUGCAACUCGGUAGGACCGAUAUGGUUAGGGUUAGGGCAUAAUGUAAUCCCGGUGGGACCGAUUACACAAACUCGGUGGGACCGAUUUUGUUAAUGGACACACAGAGGGUUGGUCAGGCAAACUCGAUGGGACCGAUUUGCUCAUCUCGGUUGGACCAAAACGUUACGAAAGGGAAACAGAGAGUUUGCAUUGCAAUCUCGGUGGGACCGAUCGCUCAUCUCGGUUUGACCGAAAUGUUACGAAGGGAAAGAGAGAGAUUACAAUCCCAUCUCGGUGAGACCGAGAUCCCUAUCGGUGAGACCAAUUUGACUAGGGUUUGUGGCAGUGGCUAUGACAUCUGAACUCGGUGGCGCCGGAUAGAAAGAAUCGUGGGGCCGAGUUUGACUUUUGGUUUAGGUCAUAUGUGGAUAUGAGAAAGUAGUUAAGGGCUUUUGGAGUAUAUCACUAAGCAUUUUGAGGAAGAAAGCCAUUAAGCAACACCACAUCCCUCCUUGAUAGUAUUGGCUUUUCCUAUAGACUCAAUGUGAUCUUGGAUCACUAAAAUAUAAAAUGUAGAGUCUUGUGUUUUGAGCUUGAGCCAAUCCUUUUGUCCUUAGAAUUUUGAGGGAUCCAAUUUUCUCAUCCAUGCCAUGCCAAUCAUUGAGCUUUCCUGAAAUAUUUAUCUUGAAAUGACAUUAUCUCAAUGAGAUAUAUGUUGUUAGGAAUUACUAAAACCACCCAGGGAUAGUUGCACUUUCAAUCUCCCCCUUUUUGGUAAUUGAUGACAACAUAUAGAUCAAAGCUUUGACAAAUGAUAAUAAGAUUGAAAAACAUUUUCGCUUUGAGAAGUAUGUUAAAAGUAAGAGCUCCCCCUAAAUUUGUGCAUUAUUUAAAAUUUUCUUUGGACUGCAAAUGCACAGUGAGUUAGGAUCAUGAGUCACUCUUCCAUGUCACAUACAUGUUGGUGGAGUUCUCAAAAUGAUAAUAAUUGAACACAUGCACUCAUCACCAAGCAAAAUGAAUGAUCAUAUGAGGAAAUAAGAGAUUAUAUCAUCCAACAAGCAUUAAUGUAGCAUAGCAUAUGAUCAAACACAUGAUCAGCCAAGUAUCUCACAAAAGGCAUAAAGUAUCAAGCACACAAAUAACAAAGUUCAACCACCAAAAAGACAAGAGAGACCAAAAGCAACACUCUCUCUCGAAGCCUAUGAUCAAUACAUUUUUCUCCCCCUUUGGCAAAAAGUUACCAAAAAUUUCAUAGAAAAUGCAUAGUGCUAAACGACUCUCGGGCUUGGUCUUCAUGUGAUGGCGUAGAGAUGCCUCCAUGGAUGAAGUCUUCUAUUGAUGUAGCUGGAGCUGGUGGAGUGGGUGCUGGAGCUGGAUGGAGUGAAGUUGUAGCUGGUGCAGAUGAUGUAGCUCUGGUGUCUGGAACAGGCACUGCAGCAGAUCUCUGUCCUCUGGGCACUCUAGCAAAAGCAUUAGUAGUUGACUUGCCCUUCUUCUCCUCCACAUCCUCCUGAAAUUUCUCAACUGCAGUUUGGAUCUUACUCACUUUGACAUCAAGAGCAUAAUACUUAUGCUCUAUGAUUCUCUCCAAGCUCUCUUGGUUUUGAGUCAGGGUGGGCAAGCCCUUCUCAAUCCUCAGAGUGGAGGCAAUCAAGUAGCCAAGCUGAUCUUGCUUGCUCUUCAGGAAAAUCUGAGAUGCCUCUUCAGCAGUUGGCAUCUUUGCAGCCUUCUCAUCCCUUGCCUUCUCCUUCUUCUCUUGUGCUGGCACAUAUGAUGGUUCAUUUUCAUCCAUCACAAUGGUGUUUUGCUCAAAGUCAGGGUAGAUGGGCAUGUGUUCCUUGUCCAAGAGAUAUGUGCCAGUGCCCAUCUUGGAGUUUAUAAUCUCCUGAAUCUGUGGGGCAUACCCACAACUCCUCUUCUGAUCACCAGCAGUCCUUUUGAUUAUUUCCACAAUCAGGCUCAUGACUUUGAACUUCUAAGGCACAUCAAAUAUAUGCAGCAAGUUGAUUGCAUGGCCUCUGAUCAUCUUGUGAUCACCUGACUUGGGCAGCAAAGUGUGCCUUAAGAUCCAGUUUAUGGUAGGCAAUCCUGACAACAGAUAAUGUACAGAUCCAAACUUAUGUGUCUCAAGUGUAGCAUCUGGGAUCUCUCUAUACAUGUGAUCCAUGGAGUUGUGGUCUUUCUUCUUCUUGGCAUAGACAUCCAAGUCAUCCUCGUUCUCCUUUGGAGCAUUUAUCAAUUCAGACCAUUCUUCAACUGUUGAUUGGUACCUAGUACCCUCAGACAUCCAGACUAUCUUCCCAUCUGGGAAGAAGUGAUCUGUGGAGUAGAAAUGCAUAAUGAGCUCAUCAUUCCACUUUGUGAGCUUCUUCCCAACAAAGUCCUCUACUCCACAAGACUUGAAACUGUCAUAAACUCUAGGAUAGUGCUCUUCAUUCUUCUUGAUGUAGUCCCAGUCAACUCAUCUCAUGUCACAUACUAUGGGCUUCUUGUCAAGCAACACUGACUCAUAGAAAUCCUGUUGUUCCUUAGUGUGGAACCUGUAGUCCACAUCAGUUCUUCUCCUGACAGCAUAGGGGUCAGUCAAUCUCCACUGUCUCAGACCUGCAUCCUUCCUCAGCUUCAUGUCCUCUGCAACUGGGUGAGCAUCAUUAUGAUCUGGGAUCUUGGGCUUCAACUUUCUCAAGACAAGUGAGUCUUCAUCUUCUUCUUCAGCAGCUUCAGGCACUAGGGCCUUGUUCUUCUCUACAGCUUUAAUACUCCUGGUGUUCCUCUUAGGUGCAGACUUGGGCUUAGGAGCAGCAGCUUUGGGAGCAUCUUUGGGCUUAGAGGGAGCAGCCCCUGAUCUUAUAGCAUCUCGCAUUAGCUUUUGAGCUUUAGGUGCUGGUGCAGCAACCUCUUCCUCUUCAUCUUCAGAGUCUCUCCUCAUAGAGGGCUUGCCAAGUACCUUGGCAGUAGUGGUUUUGACUCUAUUCUUCUUCUUCAGAUCUUGGCCAGUAGCUUCAUCAUCAGACUCAAGGGUGAACUUCAUGGUUUCACCAGUGGAAACCUUCCUAAGUUUGGAAGUGGGAAAUUCUCCUUGCAGGUGCCUUCUUUUGCAUUCCUGGCUUAGUGCAUGCAGCUGAGCCAUAUUCCUUCUUCAGCACCUUCUUCUUUGAGGUGGCCUCAUCCUCAACAGCCACAUAGUGCUCAUCUUCAGAAUCUUAGGUCUUCUUCUUUCUCGCCCUGGUGGCUGCCUUGGGCAAAUUGCUGGGUGUGCUCCUGCUGCCAUCAUCAUAGCUUCUAGAGGGACUAGUGCCCUCACUCAUGUGAACUUGCUCCUCAGACUUGUUCUGACUGUCACUCUGAUCUGACAUGAUGCAAACUCUGACAGCAGACCCUGUGAGUAGAUAUAGAUGAGGUAGAGUGGAUGAGCAUCACAAAGCAUAGAGGUUUUUGCAAAAAAAAUUGAGUUAAAAACUUAGUUUUAGUUUUCCACAGAAAGCAUUUCGGACCUACCGAUUUGUAAACUCGGUGAUACCGAAGCAGCUUUUGGAACCUAAACUAGUGAACUCGGUCAGACCGAGUCAUAGUUUGGUGGCACCGAGACUGCUAGGGUUUCACAAAGAAUCGAUCUAGGUCACACCGAUUUGCUAUUCUCGGUCAGACCAAGAAUCACAUGUGCAAUGGCCUGAGCCAAAUCGGUGAGACCGAUUUCUACAACUCGGUCGGUCCGAGAUGAGUUCGGCAGAAACCUAACCCUAAAAUUUCAAUCCAAAACUAAUCUACGGAGUGAUUUCGCUGGAUAGGAAGAUUUCAAUCGUGGCAAGGUACAUGGCAAUGCAAUGUGCUAGGAAUCGGAGUAAGGAAUAGCACAAAGUUCAAAUCCAUACCCUAAUGCAGCGAUGGAUUUGCUACGGCGACAACGGCGGAGCAGAAUCCCGUUGACGGCGGCGGAGACCAGCGGCUAUAGGUUGCUGCAGACAAGGAGGACGAUCCAGAGAACCGAGGAGGUAGAGCAGGCAGUGCGCGGGCGAAGGGUUUUGAAAAAGUUUUGAAAUUUUGGCCCGGGGGUAUAUAUAGCCUGACCCUGCCGGUGUGACCGAGUGGACAACUCGGUGGCACCGAGAUGCAUAACUGCAAGCAGUUACUGCAACUCGGUGUGACCGAAAAGUUCAAAUCGGUUGCACCGAGAUUGAAAACCUAGAUCAACUUAGUGAUCUCGGUAUGAACGAAAUGGAUGAAUCAGUCAGACCGAAACGCACAAAGAGGUUUUGGAAGUUUAAGUCUAUGGCAAAUCAGGGACUCCGAGUGCUCUUCACACAGAGUGGUUCGAAUCUGACUUGAUCAAACUUUUUGAUGUAGCAUGAAUAGAGUUUGAGACGAGAAAAGCAUAGAUAGCUAGAAAAGGUUCUUAGGCAUUCUUGUCCAUCCACUUGGCAAAAAGAAAAUAAGCCAAACAAGCAAAACUACAAGUGGAUGUCCUCGAAUGAGUAAAAUAUGCAACCAACUUGCUCACACAAUAAAAUGGCAAAUGAUAUAUGUGACAAAGCAUGCACAACCAAUCUAUCAUUAAUCAAGCAAUUGGCGAUGACUAGGUCAUCUAUAUAUGAGUAUAUUGACUUAGGAGUCAAAUGACAACAUUUGAUCAUAGGUCAUACUCAUCGUUUAAGCACAAAUGGGGUUAUCACUUUUACAUAAAGCAUUGUUGUGUUCACACCAUUAGAGUUGCUUUGGCUUAAUCCUUAGAGUAAAGCUCCCCCUAGAUGUGAGAUCCCCCCUAAGAGGGAUGAACUAACCUUGGGUUUUGUCGAUGAUGACUUCAUGUAGGUGUUGAAGAUGUGGAUGCUCAAUGUUGAUGUAGAUCAUCUGGAGCAAUCCUUUGGAGUGAGUUGCACUUUCAAUACCUACACGGGUUAGUCCCACAAGGAACAAACAAGGAUAUACAUAGACAUAGAGUGAUGCAUACACAAGAUGAUGUCCAUGGUAGCAUUAGGUUACCUUGUACCUUGUCUUACCAACAAGAGGGUUUGUGACUCCUUGAACUAGUGAAAGAUGUGGAAGUUGAUUGCACUUGUCCUUGCCAAAAUGAUAUGAGUGAAGUAUGUUGGCGGAGUCACCCUCAAGAACUCUCUAGUUCUUCUUCUUCGGGAUCCACAUCAUCUUGAUGGGAAUCCUUGGAGUUGUAGUUGUACUCGAUGAAGUAGAACUUGAUGUAGUCUUGGGAACUCACUUGACCAAGGCCUUAGGAGCUUCUUCAAAUGCAUCAAUCUCCUCCUGAAGCUUAUCCUUGCCUUUUUGCUUGUGGUCUUGUGGUGGAAGAUCAUCUUGAGCUUGUGUCCCUUUGAAAGAAGUAGGAUCAUACUUCUCUUGUUGAGGAACAAACUUCAUCUUGCGGUAUUGAUCUUCUUCCCACUCAACUCCAUUGCAUUGAACUUUCGUUCAAAACCAACACCUUGGUUCUUCCGGUGCCUUCCUUGCUUGCGUACAAUUUCCUCGAAUUGCUUACUCCCGGCAAGGCUCUUGUAAACACCUUUCUCUAUAAUUCCCUUCAAUAAGCUAUUUUCUUGCUCAAGUGUAACUUAGCUAAGAGAAUCAUUAGUGGAAUCAAGAGAACUACUAGAAGCAACAACAUUGGAUUUAGCAUGUUUAUUGUUACUACUAGAGGAAGAAUAUUUCUUGUUCUUGUUACUAGACUUGACUUGAGGCAUGUAAGUAGAUAAUAGUAAACGCUUGGCAGUGUAAGAUGAACUUUUCUUGCAAAGAUCAUCAUUGAUUGCUUUUAAGAACUCAUGCUCUUGCUCAAGGUUGAGCUUCUCAAAGUGUAACUUCUCAUGAGUCCUUAAAAGUACUCGAUGAUCUCCUAAGAUAGUUUCAUGAGCUAACUUAAGAGUGUGUAGUUCUUUAGUUAGGAGCUCAAUCUCAUCCUCAUCAUUUUCAUUCGUUUUAUAUUGAUUAGCAUGAUUAAUUGACGCUUCAUCAUAGUAUUCAUCACUAGAGUUCUCAACAAGUAAAUCAUCAUCACCUAACAAGUCAUCUUCAUCACUAUUGAAAUCAACAUACUCAGGGUGUGAUACCUUUGGGCCUUUAGCCAUGAAGCAUCUUCCAAGUCCUUCAUUUGGUGAAUCAAAUAUGUCGUAGGAGUUGGUUGACACAAGUGCUAGACCGGCAACACCUUCAUCUUGAGUAUAUUCAGAGUCGGAGUGAUAGCUUCUCUCGGAGUGAUUGUCGGAGUCGGAUCCGGAUACACAUUCACCAACAUGAGCUUGAUGUCUUUGUUUUGUGUAGCUCCUUGAUGACUUGUCCUUCCUUUCCGAAUCCUUGCUUCUCUGGGAUAUUCUUAGUUCAUAACGAUCAUCUCUACUCCUUCUUUCUCUUGAUGGUGAUUCUUCUCUUCUACUUCUUCUUUUUGGAGAAUCUUCUCUUCUUUUGUAGGGUGCCGUACACUCAUUGGAAUAGUGUCUGGGUCUUCCACAAUUGUAGCAAUUACGCUCGCGACUAGAAGAUCUUUUGUCAUUGUAGGACCUUGACUUGGAACAUCUUUCCUUGCUCCUACUCUUGUAGAACUUGUUGAAGUUCUUCACCAUUAGGCUCAAUUCUUCAUUGAACGUUUGUUUCUCACUUGAUGAUGUGGGAGCUUCACAUGAGGCUUUGUAAGCACCACUUGACUUGUUGUGGAGCUCCUCCUUAUCCUUGAGUGACAUCUCAUGAGCAACAAUUCUUCCAAUGACUUCCGUUGGCUUGAGAUCUUUGUAAUUGGGCAUCAUUUGGAUCAAUGUGCACACUAUAUCAUAUUUUCCAUCCAAAGCUCUUAGGAUCUUCUUGAUGAUGAAUUUGUCGGUCAUAUCUUCACUUCCUAAGCCGACAAUCUCAUUCGUGAUAAGAGCAAUCAUAGAGUACAUUUCAGCGACACCUUCACCAUCCUUCAUUUUGAACUUGUCAAGCUGACUUUGAAGCACAUCCAACUUGGAUUCCUUGACGGAGUCGGUACCUUCGUGCAUAUCAAUCAAAGUAUCCCAAAUUUCCUUUGCAUUUUCAAGACGGCUGAUUUUGUUGAAUUCUUCGUGGCACAAUCCGUUGAAGAGGAUAUCACAAGCUUGAGCAUUGUAUUGCAGCAUCUUCAACUCUUCCGCGAUAGCUUCACGGUUCGGUUCUCUCCCAUCAAAGAAUUCACCUUGCAAGCCAAUACACACAAUAGCCCAAACGGCGGAGUUAUGUCCAAGAAUAUGCAUUUCCAUCUUAUGCUUCCAACUAGCAAAAUUAGUACCAUCAAAGUAAGGACCUCUAUGGUGGUAAUUUCCCUCGCUAGACGCCAUACUCUCCUAGGUUGUGAAACCAAGGCUAUGACCACCAAAAGCUAUGGAGAUCAAAGCAAAUGGACAUCAAGGCUCUGAUACCACUUGUAGGAUCGAAAGUAUGACUAGAGGGGGGUGAUUAUACUACUUGACCAAAUAAAAAUCUAUCCUUUUCCCAAUUUUAGUUCUUGGCAGAUUUUAGCAACUUUGCACAAGUCAAGCAAUCUUAACACAAUUCAAGUAAGAAUGCAAAGAGUAUAUGAGCAGCGGAAAGUAAAGCAUGCAACUUGCAAGAAUGUAAAGGGAAGGGUUUGGAGAGUGCAAACGCAAGAGGAGACAUGGAUGCUUUUGUCGUUGUUCCGAUAGGUGGUGCUAUCGUACAUCCACAUUGAUGGAGACUUCAACCCACGAAGGGUAACGGCUGCGCGAGUCCACGGAGGGCUCCACCCAUGAAGGGUCCACGAAGAAGCAACCUUGUCUUUCCCACCAUGGCCAUCGCCCACGAAGGACUUGCCUCACUAGGGUAGAUCUUCACGAAGUAGGCGAUCUCCUUGCCCUUACAAACUCCUUGGUUCAACUCCACAAUCUUGUCGGAGGCUCCCAAGUGACACCUAGCCAAUCUAGGAGACACCACUCUCCAAGAAGUAACAAAUGGUGUGUUGAUGAUGAACUCCUUGCUCUUGUGCUUCAAAUGAUAGUCUCCCCAACACUCAACUCUCUCUCAUAGGAUUUGGAUUUGGUGGAAACAAGAUUUGAGUGGAAAGCAACUUGGGGAAGGCUAGAGAUCAAAUUUCAUAUGGUAGGAAUGGAAUAUCUUGGCCUCAACACAAGUGUAGGUGGUUCUCUCUCAGAAAAUGUAGGUUGUAAGUGUAGGCACGUUCUGAUGGCUCUCUCUAUGAAUGAAGAGAGGGUGGAGGGCUAUAUAUAGCCUCCACACAAAAUCCAACCGUUAAACACAACUUACCAAUCUCGGUGGGACCAAAUCGUGAAACUCAAUCGGACCGGUUUAGCAAAUCAUGUGACCGUUAGGAUUUUUUAUGGGACUGACAUGCAACUCGGUAGGACCUAUAUGGUUAGGGUUAGGGCAUAACAUAAUCUUGGUGAGACCUAUUACACAAACUCGGUGGGACCGAUUUUGGUAAUGGACACACAGAGGGUUGGUCAGGCAAACUUGAUGGGACCAAUUCGCUCAUAUCGGUUGGACUGAAAUGUUACGAAAGGGAAACAGAGAGUUUGCAUUGAAAUAUCGGUGGGACCUAUCGCUCAUCUUGGUUUGACCGAAACGUUAUGAAGGGAAACAAAGAGAUUACAAUCCCAUCUCGGUUAGACCGAGAUCCCUAUCGGUGAGACCGAUUUGACUAGGGUUUGUGGCAGUGGCUAUGACAUCUGAACUCGGUGGCGCCGGGUAGAAUGAAUCGGUGGGGCCGAGUUUGACUGUUGGUUUAGGUCAUAUGUGGAUAUGAGAAAGUAGUUGAGGGCUUUUGGAGUAUAUCACUAAGCAUUUUGAGCGAGAAAGCCAUUAAGCAACACCUCAUCCCUCCUUGAUAGUAUUGGCUUUUCCCAUAGACUCAAUGUGAUCUUGGAUCACUAAAAUAGAAAAUGUAGAGUCUUGUGCUUUGAGCUUGAGCCAAUUCUUUUGUCCUUAGCAUUUUGAGAGAUCCACUUUUCUCAUCCAUGCCAUGCCAAUCAUUGAGCUUUCCUGAAAUAUUUAUCUUGAAAUGACAUUAGCUCAAUGAGAUAUAUGUUGUUAGGAAUUACCAAAACCAGCCAGGGAUAGUUGCACUUUCAAAGGCGGAGGGAGCCAGCCGAGGAGCGGGGAAUAUUUUGGUUUUCACCAUCGAAAAACACCAGUCGAUGACUUCUCACAUCAGGGAGCAGUGGGUUUUACAGGCGGAGUCAUCGUGACUAAUUGCUGCCGCGCCUGUUCCCAUCAAUAAAAAAAUUAAAAAUCCUGCUGCGCCUACUCCCGUGAAUCAAAAAAUUAAAAAUCCGGACGCACCCAAAUACCAGAGCAACGCCGCGGUGGAUAUUUCAAUUUACCUGUCGGCAAGGAGAUAAAAAAAGGGGGUGAAAAACCAAAUGUGGCAGCGGCCUAGCUAAUCGGUCGAACUAGCCCAACUAGCUAGCCUCCAUGCUUCACAGAUGUACUCGGCAGAAAAUGUGGUCUUUCGUGAUUUGACGACUCAUUUACUUGCUUUGGUGCUACGACCGAGGAGGACCCAGAAAAUGCGUGGUAGGGCGUCCCACGUCAGGAAGAAUAUAUGCGUGCACCACCCGGGAGGACCCCGAAACCGCGCGGUAGGGUGUACCACGUCUCGGCACGGAGGAAACAUGUGCGUGUUAAAAUAUACUGUAAGUACCUAUGGUUCGACCUCAGGACCCAGCCAGUCGGUCGAAAACACCCCACUAGCCACACAGCUUCAUCAUGCUAACGUGGCAUGGAGGAUAGGUGUGGUUAGCUCCAUCUCGACCAGCCACAACGUCUCUUGUUCUAGGCGAUUCUUCUAUUUUCCAAGCUUUUUUUAGUUAUAAUAACACCAUGGCAAGCUAGUGCUGCCCUUCGUCUGUGCCCAUGCAAAGGUUAGACGAUGGAGAGGAGAAGGAGAGAUCGCAGACCUGGGACACACCAGUAAGUGAGUCCACGGCCAUGCACGUGUUGACGAGGCACUCCCUCUACUCUACUCAACGUAAUACUGUACAAAAUCAAGUUAUGGGACAAAGCCAACAACCGUUGUUGUUUCAGGCUAUCGACUUACGCUUUGUAGUCCAGGUUGCUAGUUCAAAUCUCGUCUUUCAGAUUUGUUAGUUUUAGGUCCAAAUUUGAUUAAUGACAAGUGGGACCCCCGUGUGUUGUUCCAAUAUUUCAGUGUAGGAUGUUUUUUUUGAACAAACACUUUGCGUGGUUAGACAUGUAACGGCACGAGUUACACAUAUUUUGCAAGUUUACAAACAAAAAUGACAGCGGCAUAGAAUAUCACAUCCACCCCGCAGCUUAGAUGCUAUGGUGAUACGAGUUUUUACAUUGUUGGAAGUGAUAUCCAAUGGCUUGGGAGUAGUCUUUGUAAUUAUGCGCAAUUUCCAAACUCUCCAUAGUUUUUUUGCAGAUAAAACAUUCAGGCCUCGUGUGUGCCGCUGCAUCUUGGAUCCAACGGCUCCCCCUUGCUCAUAUUAGGUGCUCCCCAUAGCUUAAUUACCCGCUACGGUGAUACGAGCAUCUAGGUCGUAUGAUCAGAUGGCACAUACGUAGUACUUGUACUUUCUGCGCAAUUCCCAAACUCUCUCAGACGUAUAUUGCAAAAACAUUCAAACCUCCUACUAUGGGCCGUUAGAUCACCGUGAACUCGUAUCACCAUAGAAUCUAUGGUGCGGGAGCACCUCAUAUUGUCCCGUGCGACAAAACAUAAGGUGCUCUUGCAGCUUGGAUGCUACGGUGAUACGAGCUUCGAGGUCGUUUGAUCUGAGAUCCAAUGGAAUCUGAGCAGUCUUUGUGCUUGUAAGCAGUGGCCGAACUCUUUGGGGGCUUUUCUGCAAAAAAAGAUUCAAACCACUGAGGAGUUGUUGGGUCACAAAUCCAACGGCUCCGAAGAGCUUGUAUCACCAAAGCAUUUAAGGUGUGGUAGCACAUGAUAUUCUUACAUACAUGAGAAUGUGAUGUCCUCCUUUAUCUUAGAUGCUACGGUGAUACGAGCUUCGAGGUCGUUGGAUAUGGGAUCCAAGGGCAUCUGAGUAGUUUUUGUACAAAUUGUGUGCAAUUCUCAAACUCAUCAAGGUUUCCUUUAAAAAUAUUAAGACAUCAUGUGAGCUGCUAUAUCUCAGAUCUACAAGCUCCAAGCAACUCGUAUCGGCAUACAACAUCUAAGGUAUGGGGGCACAUGAUAUUCUCCCGGGGAGGAGGGGUGGGGGUGCACAACCAAUCGGUGUUUGGGAGGGUGGGGACAAAUAUAAUCUAAACAACCCUAAACAGAGCUUCGCAAUUUUAUCUAAGGUCGAGGGGUUAACCCCCGAUAAUCUACAUAGCUCUGCCUAAACACAACAUUUGCAUGUACUAUAGUACUAGACUUAAUAUUCAUGUUUCGGUUUCCUGUUCAUUUUAAAUAUUGAAUUGAGGACCAUGCAUGUCUUAAAUUUUACUCCCUUCAUUCCUAAAUAUUAGUAUUUUUAGAGAUUUCCAAUGGACUGGCACAUACGGAUGUAUAUAGACAUAUUUUAGAGUGUAGAUUCACUCAUUUUGCUCCAUAUGUAGUCACUUGUUGAAAUCUCUAAAAGACUAAUAUUUAGGAACAGAAGGAGUAUUUUUGAAUUCAUGUCAUACAUGCAUGGUUUGGAAAAAUAGAUGCACUAUAAUUAUUGGAUUAUUGUUGUGUUCGUGGGUGGGUGUGUGUGUGCGCGCGCGCACGCGUGUGUGUGUGGUCAUAUGCUAGAUACAUACAAGGAUUUCUCACUUCCAUAUUGUUCAUCUUUUAAAUUUCAAUUUGCAAUGAAAAACUUACUAGGGAUACCAUGAAAUAUGAAAUCCACAUUGAGAUCACUAUAUCACAAACUCACUCUAAUUCAAGAACUCGUCAUAAAUCAAUUACCAUGUUGAGAUUAGUAUUUGCAAGGAAAAUAUGGGCAUUGUAAUACACAUAUAUUCGUUCGGCAAUUUAAAAGAUUCAUUUCGUAUUCUCGAAUGGUAGGACCCACCGGCGUACCAGCCAGACCUUGGCUCGUGUUGAUCCUAAAAAAUGGGCUCAUGUCCUUCUGGUGGCGUGCAUGGUGUGCACAUUAGGCAACCCUAACCAGUCGAGCCUCCGCGUUUCAAGUCAAAAUAUCUGGCGGCCAGAAUUCCAGCCCUAGGAAAUUCCCCUCAUGUCCCUGGUCCAUAAUGACUACCGAUGAACAAUGGAGGGAUGCUUUAGUAACUAGACAAGGUUACCUACUGUGCCGAGCAUGGUUCAAUUCCCUCGAUCGCCGCUCCACAAGGUCACCCGUCAACUACUACUACUACACCAGGAUGAGCACAGAAUUGAGCCCGUUUGUUCGUGCCUAGUACUUGAGUUAAUAUAUCAGGCAAUGCACUGGUACGGAGGGAUUAUCCUUUUACUCUGCAUAUAUAACUUGUCUGAAGUCUAACUAAGCAAAAUGUUUGACCAAAUCCUCUCUUAAGAAAUACAACAGGACAUAUGUAGGGCUUGAAAAUCUAUUGCAUGAUGCAGGUUAUGAUAUUGUUACGAAUCCUGGAUUUUAAAUUUCAGAAAAUCCAAAAGUGACCAGAAAUUCUUGAAACUAAGCAUGGUCACGUGAUAUGGCACAAAUAUUCCUUCGUAAUUUUUUUCUUCAAUUUGAGACAAGCUGCUUAUGACAAGUUGCACAAAUGAACGGCCAAGGUAUUUUGGGCCAAAGACGUGUCACGUUAAGGCGAAUGCUUUCACUAUUGAAACCGUGGGCGUUUACGUGCCGCCACGAGUCCCGCUUCUCAUCGGCUGGUGCCGUCCGAGCAAGCAUGUGAGUUGACGGGAGGCGUGCGAGUAGACCAUUGCGCCGGCUGACAGGGAGGCGUGCGAGCAGACCGCUGUGCAGGCUCACCGGGAGGCGAGCCCUUUGACCAGGCUCCGCUGCCCACCUUUGUCCCAACUACUCCCACUUUUAAUGUCACCGGCGCCGCAGUUUAAAAUCAACCCUGCACUACCCGGUAUCUCUACAAUCUUCUCUCUUCCUUUCCGAUUCUCCUGUCGUCUACCUCCAACCAGCCUGACCUAAACGUACGUCAUGCCGUAUCAUGAUGGUCUGCCCUUAGUUUUCCAGCUUCCUGAGGAAGACACCCAGCCGGAGUCUCAAGAACAUAAGGCGCUUUGGGACGAGCCUGAACUGUCCUUGCGGGAAGACGUCGCGCCUGUCCCCACUCCUGUUCUGGCUCCCGUCGCCCCGACUGCGCCAGCGCCCAUCCCCGUGGCAUUGAUGGGCUGGGAGCCGCACAUUGUCGUCGAGCUUGAUGCCACGGGGUUCCACAAGGUCCCCGCCAACUUUCACGUGCCCGUGCACCUGCCAGCGCAUGCGCCUGCGCGUGCACUGACGUGCACGCCCGUGCCCGUGCCCGUGCACCUGCCAGCGCAUGCUCUUGUGCAUGCACUGACGUGCGCGCCUAUGCUGGGGCAUGUGCACACGAAUGUCUCUGCCGCGCCGUUGCCAGUGCCUGUCCCCGCGCGGGUGCCAGUGCCCCCCUCAGCGGCAUGGAUGGCCGCCGUCGACCGCUUCCUUGCACCAACGCCGGUCACCUCCUCCUGCUAGUUAACUCGCUCCGAAGUCCAGAAAUUUUUGGCUUUCCUUGAAGCUAGGCCAACGUCCAGGAGUACGCCAACAAUGGCACAAGACGCCGUUGUCGUCGUAGGUUAGUGGCCCGACGACACACAGAGCACGAUAGAGGAGCCGCUUCCCACCGCAAGGCAGCUCUGCUGCCGCCGCAUGAUCUCAAUUUGCCAUGAAAAAUGUUCAGAUUGCCAUGCUUAAAAUCUGAAUGUCUAUCAUUUCCGUUUAUUUUAGACCGAAUCGUCGUAUAAUUUAAAGUCGAAGUCAGACUGAAGGAAAUCUAUGGUUUGAUUGAUUGAAUGUUCUGCUAGAGCCGUAUCAAAUUAAAUAUAAAACGUCAUCAAGCCACAUGCAUUCCUUGUCAUCAAGUGACCUAGACUGCUUCAAUGUCGAGCGCUCAACACGUUUAGCGUGUUGUUAAUUUCAUGCCAAAAAUAAUGCUAAUCACAUAAUAACAGGCAAAUAAUAUCUUACUUAAUAUCCGCAUGCACUUAAUAUACUUCCAAAUUAAUGUGCAUUGCACGUACACAUUGACUAGUGCUACUAGUACGUGAAACUGGUGUCGUAACUUGUGAACGCGUCCAGAUAUGGUCAACGGCAACAUCGCCCGCGAGUCCUUCGUGUUUGCUCGUGCGUCUAAACGCGGAAGGGCAGGAGAGAGAGAGAGCACACAUGGAACCCACCAGUAAGUGAAGGCGAAUAGUACGUGCUAACGAGCCGGUCCCACUAAUGUACUAAAAAUAAUAUUACAUGUUAUCCAUUAAAUAGGCUGCGGUAAUAUAAAAACAUUAUAUGAACAAAGGGGGGUACAACAAACAUUGUUGUUCUACAUAUGUAGCCUAUUGAUGUGUGGCUUGAAGGCCCUGGUCACAUGUUCGAUCCCCGUCCUUUAUUUUUUACUUUGUAUAUGGGUCCAAAUUUGUUUCAUGACAGGUGGGCCCCACGGUCUGUAGUUUGUAGCACUUUAAUUUGUGGCUCAAAAUUUGGUCCAUUCCAAGUGGACUAUCGGUGUGUAGUUUUGUAGCUUAUUUAUAACUAGCGGGUGUACCCGCGCAUUUGCGCGGCUAGAUUAAUUUUUAUAUAUUCUGUAUUUUUCUUGUUUUUUAAACACUUGUUUAAUGUUUUUAUAAAGUUUUAAUGUUAUUUUUUUGUUUUUUAAUAUUUGUUGUUUUCCCAUUUUUAGUUUGUUUAUUUAAAAGUAUUUAACAUAACAGGAUGACAUAUGCCAGUCUUAUUUUUUCAGGAAACUACACCGUUUGGUGCAUUUUAAAUAACCAUUAUCAUCCCCAAAAAUAGAUAUGUUUAUUAUGACAUUCAUCUUGCUUCCUUGAGAUACAACAUGCACACUUAAUAGGGUGAUUUGAGCUUUAUCACGGAAAAUAACUAAUUAGUCCGGUUUGGUUUUAUUUCAUUGGCAUAAGGUCAUAUGUGAUGAGAGCCCUGUAGUUAUUGACACGCACCUUACUUUUAGUUGAUGGUACACCUGUUAACUAAUAUUAAUUAGAUUGAUGAAGAAAUAGAAAAUUGUGAAUGGUGUUGGCAAUGUAAUGCAGAUUUGAUCUAUUUUAUAAUUUUGAUAAAUGAUCUGCAUAUAGUUUUUGUAAAACAUGUUUAUUUUUUCUUGUGACAUUCAUGUAACAUUUAAAUUACUCUCUCUGUUCACUUUUAUAAGGCAUUGUAGAUUGUUUCACACAUUAUGCAAAACAGCUCAAUUUCACUUGUUUGAAACGACUUAUAAAAGUGAAUGGAUGAGUAUUGUUUUUUUGAAGGUUCUCAUGUAUUUUAUUUAGCUUUACAUAUGCGUUGUUUUUUAAAUUAUGUAUCUGUUAUAUGUUUGAUCUUUAGUCCAUUUAUUUUUUAUUUCUUGUAAAAAUAUAUGGUACUGAUCGUUUUAAUUUUUAUGAAUUUAUGAAGCAAAUGGACCCAAUCGUAUCAGAAACGAAAUAUGAAGUUGCAUCUUUAUUUUUUUCCGUCUCAAUUUAUUUAGUCAAAACUAUGUAACACGUCUUUCAUCAUUAAAAAAAGAAACUGUGUAACAUGCUUCCCAUCCCACCAUGUUUUUUUAGAAGAAACGUGCACGUCUUUUUUUUUGAAGGGAUGUACGCUGCUCCUUCUUAGUUGUGCUAGAGGAAAAGAAUGUGCACAUUUCUUCUUUGCCUUUGAAGGGUAGUUGAAAGAAACUGAGGCGGCCCUUCCAUGGGUGAUUCUGCCCCAAAUCUGAGUGCCCUACCCGUCCAUGGGGUAAUGUUGUACCAAAUCGCAAGGGGAAAAAGAAAUUGAAGCUGCUGCUCCAAAUCUGAGUACCCUUCCCGUCCAUGGGGAGAUGCUCUACCAAUUCGCAAGUGUAGCUAUUGUAGCAGUUUGAUUUGUUUUCCCAUCCAUGGCCAAAUCUUGGAGGAGGUGAUCUUUGUGGCCAUUUUUUGUCGAGGCCAGGACAUGCGUUGCGGAUCUGGCGUCUCCCACCAGCGAUGCGGCAUCUCACUUUUGCCUAUGUAGUUCAUUGCCGCUGAGACAUAUGGUUGUGUCGUUGGGUUCAGGGCCCAUCUUCUGUGUGUCGUUCCUGUCAUCUUAGGGUGUGGACAUGCUGACAGGUAUGAAUCGCUUUGUGCUCUCCCAUUCGCCUCUUGCUUUGCAUAAUGUUCAUCGUAAUUUCAUUUACCAAUUUUUUCCCUGAAUGUACACCUCUCCUUAGUUUCUAGCAGAGGGGAAAAACAUAGUUCCUUCUUUCCUUCGUCCUUAAUGGGAAAAAAAGAAAUGGAGGCCGCUUGCCAUCACCAAAUUGAUUCCCAAACCAUUAUGGCUGAUUCAUUCCUUUCUAUUUCUUCUCGUGUAGGUACUGGCGCAGUUUGCCGUUGAGCAGGGUGCACGGAUGCGUUUGUCGCAUUCUCGAUGAUGUGGAUCCUCGACAACCUCGUUGAGUCCGGCAGUGCGUUCUCAAGUUUCGGCCAAGCUGAUGACCUCUUCUUGGCUUACAGCUAGAGGUCUAUGGCAGAGGUGUUGUAGUUUGGCCCAGUGGAGGAGGCUGCGAGGGAAAUCACCGAGUCAACUACUGAGUGAGUUAUUAGAUCUUUCACCUAAAGAAUACAAAUAGCAGCUGACAACCAUGAGAUGCUGGCCUCCUCGUUGUUCUUGUUGUCAGGCCAAUACUAACUCAUUGUUCUUCCGGUCAGGCUACUACUAACUGUAAGUGUCAACUGAAAAUUAUUUCUUGUACUUUAUCCAUAGCAGUAUUGUACUCCAUGUAUUUUUAAUUUUUUCUUUGCAAGAAAUUAUGCCUUUUCUCUUAAUAAAGGCCUUAUGAACCGCAAGUUGGUUCAUAUGUGUCAAUUAUUUUCUUAAUUUGCAAAGUCCUUGCCUUCUCUAUGCUAAUCUGUCACCUUGGAUAUAAAUUUUGUUAUAGGUUUGUUGAGUAGCUCACUUGUGCCAGCAAGAUGCCAUUGAUUUGCUUAUAUCCAGUCAUGCUAUUAAAUUACUGAUGAAGCAAGGUAUGUUCCUUUCUAUUGUGUUGGUGUUAUAUAGGUUUGGUAAAGUAUAGUUUCUUCAAAUUGUGAAGUAAAUCCUAAUGUGUGAAAGUCUGGUCUUGUAGUAUGUUCCUAUCUAUUGCGUAGGCCUCGUAAAGAUUUUCCUAAAAUAGCAUGUGCAUAAAGGAAACUACAUGAAUAAAGUUAUCAAUCUGUUUUAAACUAAGAACAUUGGUAACGUCCACACCCUGAAUCUAAUAAGUAUCCUUCUUAUCAUGGUUGAUGUCAGUCAAAUACUAUUACUUAUCUUGGUCAAUACAAAUAGACUGUCGCACUAUUUAUUUCAUAAGCUACUGAUCCACUAAUUAUCUGGAUAACAUCAUUUUUCUCCUGGCCUUUGAUUUUGGUACUUCAUCUUCGUCUUCAAGCACUGUAUUUUUGGCUUUUGCUUUAACAUGUUUCUUGUUCCCGCAAACACCUUUUUCCUUUUUUUUCAGGCAUAUUCGUCUCAGUGCAUUCAUCCUCUGACUCAUCUGAUAUUACAACAGAUCUCAGUAUCCUUUUAGUGCCACUGCGGAGCUCACGUGAUGACGAUGGUAUUUUGUCUUGACGCUUAUCUUUAUUUAAUGUAGUCCCAUUGCUGUCAUGUGGCUCCUCUUUCAUAGGCACCAGUUCACAUGAAAGUUUGCCAGAUGAAACUUUAUUAUUUUGUGACUGCAAAGAUAAACAUUUUGAAAAUUAGACACAUCUCUAAAAUCUGAAGUGUGUACAUUGUUAAAAAAACAAUCACCUUCCUAUCUGGCAUGUUUUGCUUCUUCAUUAACACAGUGUCCACCUCAUCAUCCAUCAAUUCCUGUGAAACAUAUAUAAGAUGAAUUAGUUAAGGAAUUCUGAAAAUGGUAAAAAAGUUAAUGCAGUUUUACCUCCUCAGCUUUAUUGUCCAAAUAGAGCAUCUCAAGCCUAUCAUCAGGCACAAAUGUUCUUUUUACGGCAUAGUUUUGUGUGCCAAAUGUGAGAUUAUUAUCAUUGAGCUUGAAUCUAAAUAUGAGUCUUUUUCCACAUAAUUGUUGAAUAAUCUUUGGCGCUUCUUCUGAUUUCCCAUCCUGUGUGUCCAGCAGAUUAGAUGCAGAUGUAUUAAGCAAUCUUGCAGCCUCCUCAUCAAAUAAAGUGCAACUUGUAGUAGAUGUAUGGUCACUAAUUUGGAGUCGAACACGGUACCAAACACAUGAUUCCUGUUAGUGGAGAGUAAAUAUAAUAUAACAUUUUUUUUUCAUAUUUUAGUAAUAUAAUAUGCUUACCGUGGUGUGACCUUUUCUGGAUAUAUACCACAACUCUUGCAAUAAUAAUUGUCAGUUUCCUUGGUAGCCAAUUUGUGGCACUUAUCACGUGACAUGUACCACCAUUGAAUAUUUUCUUGCAAAGGAUCCACUGUAUCUAUGACGGUGAACACAAAAUCCUAAAAAAACAUUAGCAUUUGGGUGGGGUGUGGAAUUAAGAGGCAUAUAUAAGCACAAUAUGGUUUCAUUGUAACUAAUAUUAAAUGAAUUGUCCAUGCAGGUCUUAUCGCAUAUCACGGAGAUUGAUGAUAUCAUUUAUUGGAAUUUUGAUGCGUUACCUGGUCUGGCUGGUUUCCAUGCCUCAUUGCAGUAAGUUCUUCUAAUGUUCUCCUCCUAUAAAACAUCUGUUCUUCUAGUGUUCCUUGAUUACUUCUAUCUAUACUUCCCAUCUUUGGUAAGGUUUCUUCGGCUUAGUUCCUGCACAUGUAUGAAGUAAAUAAGAAUAUACAACCUUUAAUCAACCUGACUUAGUAAUUAUGAGUGAAAAAAAUAUAAAUUGGUGGUGUUUCAUACCUAUCAAGAAGUUCUUGUGUUUCUGGUAUAUCCAGAUCUAUAUAUAUCAUUGUGGCACUCGUUGACUUUAGGCACAAACCUAUUUAAUCAUUCAGUUAGAAUUUGUAAAUGAUAAGAAUAGCAUGUAAGAUUUAUGCACUUACCAUUGAAUCUCUACACCAUCGUUGAUGUGAUAAUAAGGACAGUUUGGCUGCCGAUUACAUCCUCGGUCAAAAAAUAAGCAAACUUUCCCCACAACUUGAUUCUGAUUUUAUCACCCCUAAAGAAAAUAAUCUAAAAAGUUAGUGCUAACCACAUGGGGGAGGUUUAGUUAAAUUUGAGACAUGCAUAUGCACUUACUCUGGCAUUAGGAUUUCAAUCUCGCGGAUAUAUGAAGGUUGUGGGUUCCUUUUUGUUAUUCUUGUCUCCACUGGCUUCAUUUGAGUUAGUAGUCCAAUGACAUCUGCAUAUUUGGAGAUUAUAGUGAUAUAAAAAUUAGAAAUAUCCAUUAUUUGGAUGUUGUAAUUACAUCCAUAAACAUACCUGAGCAUUGUGUAUCUUUUUCCGCCCUUUCUUCUAGUGUGUCCAUGGUAGCAAACUCGAAGCAAUAUUCUGGGAAAACUUCCGAAGAUCCUUUUAUUUCCUUUACCUUUGUAUUGUAUGCAAAAUAUAUUUUAAUUUCAUUGCUCACUGGCCUAUAUUUUGUGGAUUCCACGACCUUAAAAUUGUUGAAUGCAUAAAUAGACUUUUCAUUGAUCUUUGAUAUAAAAGUGUCUAUAAGAUUCUUCCAGAUAGUAGCAUGGAUUGUUUCACCCUGUUAAAAGAAUCAAAUAGGGAACAAUUCUAAUUUAAUAUAUUAGAAAACAGACCUGCUCAUCCAUCAGUAUCAUAUCUAGGCUAAUAAGCUCAUCGGUCGUAGGAUUCACUGAAUCCCACAUUCUCAUUACUUUCACUUGAAUAUUCCAAUUAUGUCCCCUUGUCGUUAAGUCACUCAACUUCUUGUAUGCCAUAUUAUUAUAUCUUCAAAACUAACAGGGAACAAUUUAUCAAUUUAUAUAGUAUUUAUGAAGAUUCUAUCCAUCAAAAGUAAGCUUGUGAAAUAACAAUUACCAAAUCUGAUGAUUCAGGCUAGAUUUGCUUUGGC